UGGUGCUUCUCGAGGUGGAUGCCAUUUGCUCGCUGGCUUUGCUUUCCACAAAGGGAGAGGGAAAGAAAUGUGGAGAAGAAAGAAAGGAGGGUGCUUGAUGCUAGACCAACUACUCCUGCCGCAACUAUGUCAAUCAAACUAGCCUUUCCAUUACUAAGAGUUAAUUACUGCUGUUAGGACAGAAGAUAUAUAUUUCUGAUAGAAAUAUAUGUACAUGUUUAGUCCUGUUCUGUUUCAUAUCACCAUAGUGGAGCAGUAUAGCCUAGCUUUUGUGAUGCUCUUACCUUUACUAGAUUAGAUGUCUGAAGAAUGUCAGGAGAUAAUCAGUCAGUGCUAAUAAGCAAUGCAGGUGGCUCUGCUCCCUUGCAUCCUCCUUCAGAGUUUUGUGAUGGACCUGUUGUGCUUGAUUGGUGUCAGUCACAACUUAUAUAAGCAGUAGUGCUUUCUUCAUCUGCAAGUAUGCAUUGCCUAGUUGAGGAUGAGAAUGAGAUGAUAGAUCCCGAACACGUUUCUAUGAUUCUAUCUGUGUCCAUGGAUAAUGUACUUCCGUUCGUCGGCUUUUGAUCAACUGAAGGUUCUCAACAUCAGGUCAGUCCAGACUCUAGCGCAUAGCAUUGCUGCCACUUGAUGAUAGUACCAUCAGGAAGCAAGCUAGGAAAUGGCGUCACGUUACUGCCCAACAGGGUUGCGUUGAUAGAAAGCCACUACGAAUGCGAUUGCCUGGCCAUGUAUGAUUGAACACCCGGAUUAUCUAUACAAUUAGCAUCGUUCUUUGCUCAUCUAAUCCUGGAUUAUUAAAUGGGGGGGUGCCUGCUGACAUAAUACUGAUACCUGAAUAGUCAGUGACGGCAUCGAUGAAGCCAUUGAACAAGGGUUGGCUUUUCGUUUAGUUUAGGCCAAAGAGAGGGACACUGACCAAUUCGCGACCUAACCUAGACUAUUAUAAACAGAGGGGACGAAACGGACGGCUUCGUGGGUAACGCCAUGAAAACGACCUGGAACAGAAGCAUCUAAUGCAGAGAGGAGAGGACACUAGAGGAAGGAUGGCAGCAGCAUCAGCUUUGGGAGGAGCGGCGGCGGCAGCAGCUGAAACAUAUGCUGCCGCUCACACGCAUUCUUUUCUGGCUUCCACGCAACUUUGCGAGGCGAAUCGGCUUUGGAGGGGCUUCCCUUUUCUCGAGGGGAUGCCACAGUGGUAGUGACAUGAAAAGGGGAGGAAAUGAAAGUGGGGGUGUGACAUUUCCCAAAAGGACGGGGGGCAGAAAUGGAAGGAGGUUUUUUUCUUUCCUGUGCGCGUGUGUAGAAUUCAAAGUGGUGGGCGAUGUCGACAUGGACGUGGUCGGGAAUUCUUGGUGGUUCGGCUGCAGGAGCUGCGCAAGAUAUGCCAUACUAUCUUAUUAGCUCAAUCGGAGUGGAUGUGUCUUCCAUCUCUUGGGUUGUGCGGAAAGGAGUGCCAUCUCCAUUUGGUGAUGGCAUCUUUCUUUUGUUCACAAGGAUGGAUCAUGUAUAGGUGCUGCAAAAUUGAACAUAUAGGUGCAGUGCCCAAUUCUGAUGAUGUUUUCUCUUCGAAGUUGUCUAACACGAUAUCCUGGCUACACGUAUCGCAUUUCAACGCAUCAGCUGCACAUUAGGCAUGUUUACUCGAGAAUGGAGGAUUAGAAUAUCAUGCUAGUCCCAUGGUCGAAGAGGGGACAGGCAGACAUUUGACUCAAAUCGCAAGUUCCUGCUCACACGGAGCUGGAGUAAUUUUGAUGCGGUUCAAGCCUCAAAGGCAUUUCUUUCAGCGCUCGUUGACGCGUGUAUGUGUCAUCAAUUGGCGAGCCAUGCGGCAAAUCCUCGGUCCCCUUCCCCCCUCUGUCACUGGAACCGAGCGAGCACAAAUCAACCGGAAGCAAGCACGCAACGCGGCCCGCAGAGUGCACGUCGGAGUGGCAGCCGCCGCGCGAAAGCUUUCCCCGUGUGCAAGCCGCGGCGGCGUCUUCCCGGUGGCCCCACGCGCGCCGGGUCCGGGCCCCAGCAUCCUCUCGUCCGUCGCCGGUCAUGCGCGAGUCAUUCCGCCGCGUGGUCCACACGUGUGGGUUGGGGCGUCGACGUGUCGCCCGCCCAUUGGUCCCCGCCGCCUGCCCGGAUGCCCGGCUCGUGUGGGGCCACGUGCCGCCUCCUUGCAAAGAUCAUCGCAGCAGCCGCCGCCCGCCGCCGCCUCUCCUUGACCCACCACCCACCCCCGCCCGCGCACCCUUUCCUCGUGCGGGCGCGGGACUGGGCCCGGGCACGUCCGGAGGCGUGCGAUCUCGAUCCGACGGCGGAGGUGCCGUCCCAGGUCGGUGGAGCCCUCACAGGUCGGUGGAGCCCUCACGCGCGGGCUGGCGCUGGGUCCCGCGGGGUGACGUCACGCGUGGCGUGGGGAUGAGGCACUCCAGUCCAGGCUCCAGGGUCUCUCGGUCUCCACGAGGCGCUCUUGGUCUCCGGCUCGAAUCGGGACGUGUCCCGCGGGUGCGGUGCGGGAUCCAUCCAUUAAUUUUUAGUUCAGGUUAUACCGGAUAUUUAAUACUAAUUAAAAAGAUUAAACAUGAAUUAAUUAUAAAACUAAUUGUAUAAGUCAUGAUUAAUUUAUGAGACAAAUCUAUUAAGCCUAUUUAAUUUAUGAUUAGCACAUAUUUACUGUAGCAUCACAUGGUCAAUUAUGAACUAAUUAGAUUUAAUAGAUUCAUCUCGCGAAUUAACCUUCAUUUAUGCAAUUGAUUUUGUGAUUAACCUAUAUUAACACUAAUUAGUAUCUAAACAUUCGAUGUGAUAGGGAUUAAACUUUAGUCCUCACUCCAAAUGAGACCUAACGUACGUGGCGGUGGCUGGCUGCUGCUCUGGGCUAUGGCAGGGUGGGGGCAGGUGGAUGGAUCUUUCUAGAAGGAGGCAUGGAGGGAGCUUUAGCAGUACUAGCAGUUCGCUUAACACCAUGCAGCGACCAACACAGCCAAUUCGAGCCCCGUUUUGCGAAUCUUGAGGUAGCACACGUUUGUCAGUGCCAAAAACUGCAGCGGAUCGUAGUAGGAUCGAGCUGCGCGUAAGAAUUGAAGCAACAAGCCUGUGUGGUGACUAGUCGAUUACUCGAUCUGCUCUAUCACAAGCUGUUUUUAGCCGCUCUGAUGAAACGAGUUCAGGCAAAGCUUCCAAAUGCAUGGCAACUUGUACAAUCACGGAAUGCGUGCUAUAUUGUUUAGUGAUAGCUGAUCAGUUACGAUGAUACGUGGGUGUAGCUAGCUAGUCGAUGGAUCCCAACCAAUAACCAGAUAUCCGGAUGACGGCAGCUGAUGUGUACCAGAUGUACCUGCUGCAAAUGAGCGAGGGUCAGAGCAGCUGGGACGCACUCGAGCAAUGGUCACAGAAGCUAGCCAGUGCUUGGUUUAGGAAUGUUUGGAUACACCUGCUAAAGUUAGUUUAGUAUCUGUCACAUCAUAUGUUUGGAUACUAAUUAGAAGAAUUAAACAUAGACUAAUUACAAAAUUAAUUGCACAUAUGGAGUCUAAUUCACGAGACGAAUCUAUUAAACCUAAUUAGUCCAUGAUUUGACAAUAUGGUGCUACAGUAACCAUUUGCUAAUGAUGGAUUAAUAAGGCUUAAUAGAUUCGUCUCGCGAAUCAGCUCGAGGUUCUGCAAUUAGUUUUAUAAUUAGCUCAUGUUUAGUCCUCCUAAUUAGCAUCCGAACAUUCAAUAUGACACUGCUAAAGUUUAGCAUCUAAUAUCCAAACACCCCCCUUAAUUGGGAAGAAAUAGGCAUCAAUUUACUCUUAAUUGGAUCGCAAACCAGGGUGCCGACUCUGUCCUCUCCGUCCAACCGGGUCAGCCAGCUAUGUUCGAUUGCUUGAGCUACUUUGCAGCGGUAGCGGCUGCAGCUGCAAGUCCAGGCAGCGGCUGCAGCUGCAAGUCCAAGCAGCAGCCGUUCGGCUGCAACGUCCAGAAAAGUUAUUUUUCCACUCUCGUUUCCAUUAGCUAUUCCCAUUAUGUUAUUUUUUUAGUGGUUGCAGCAAUUGAACACGCUUGUGUGGUUGCAGCAGAGGUUCUUGACCGGCUGUAGCUGCAGCACAGUCGCAGCCUCACAGCACUGCAGAAAAGCACAAGCGAAGCGAUCAAUAUGGAUCGUCGGAGCUACUCUACUUGGACGAACAACACACUUGACUUGGGCGACUUGGACCCUGGGUCCCGGUCGACCGGAAAACUAGUAACCUAUCAAGACCAGAAAACUAGUAACCUAUCAAGUUGUCUGCUACCUACUUUGUUUUGAUAAAAGCAAAGGAGCAGAGCAAGCAAAGUCGCCGGCGGCGACGACAAGCAGCAAAGCCAAGUGGUUGGGCUGCUAGAGGCGCCACAAACACAUGGAGGCAAAGUGGAGGAACCACGCCAAGCGACGGUUCAAAGUGGAUGAGGUAGCCGACGAUGUCCAUCUUCUCUGACGAACCAAAGAUUUGGUUAAAGCGAUCGUCGGAGCUUUCUUGAACGACAACCUCAAAGCCGAUGGAAGGCGUGCUGCUGCAACAGAGACGACGAGGUCGCAAGCUAGUUGUAGUUGAGCUUGGGGCUGCCUCGGGGUGGGCGGCAUGAAGUCGAAGGCGACGGCGAGCAUCGAGGCUAAGCCUGCUGGAGCAACGCCGAUGACUGAGCAAACUGAAGCAGAGACGCACGUACCAACGAUGAUAGCAGCCGAAAUCGCCUCCAGCACAGCCGAAUCAAAGGUGGAGGAGAGUGGAUCCAAGCGGCGGCGGGUGGAUGGAGUGGAAGCUGAAUCCAUGCAGCGAGGGGGAUUUAUUUCAUUCCGCACCUGUGGACCACCAGUGAUGAGGGAAGCACCGGCAUGGAGCUCACCAUGGAUGGCGAGGAACACAACGACGGUGACAGGGAUGCGGCUUCGGAGAGGGAGAGGAAGAAUCUCCAACCGAAGAAACAUGCUAAGAAAAGAUAUAUACACGGGUGGCGGGGGUCGGCCCACCUCCCUCUUGUCGCUGGCAGUGCCAGUAGAGGAGAAGAAGGAGGCUGGAAGUGGCGAGAUGUAGAAAGCUACAGUAGAGAGCGGAAGGGAUAGGGAUGAAGAGCUUUGCUCUAUUCUUGUGGAAACCGCUUUGAUGCAUACUUGUGCGGAAAUCGCCGGAGUUGAGUACCGACCAGCUCGACCUGCCGGUGUGGUUGGCACGUCAACGUGGCUCACCUGUUGGUCCUGGCUUGUGCCGGCCAAUGCUGUGGUAUGGCCGUGUGGGCUGCCACCAUCACCUUUUCUUCGCCCAGCGGGCCACCACUCGAGGCUACAAUACCGUGCCGCGGCACCUCCACUUAUCACAUUUCCUUCUCCCUCCACACAAACUGCUACAGUACUGCGUGCUGGAGUUGGGAGUGGACCUGCUCCCUCCGGUCGGAUUUUAGAUCGAAAGCGGAUGGAAGGAACGCUUUGAUCAGGGCACGUUUAUAGUACAUGAAUUUAGUGAACCUAAGCAUAUCAAGUAAUUAAACACCUUUGCAAUUUCUUUUUUCCAUGCUUUGACUAGCUAUGCAUGUCUGCAGUUUAGGAUGCGGGCGAGGUGGCAAGUUUUGGAAAGAGACGAGGACAUGUGGCGGAACCACCCAAAUUAAACCGACUCAAUUACGCUAACCAUCAUCUUAAUAGUUAAUCCGGUCACACGCACUUAAAACAGUGUAAUUCGGCAGUCCAUCGAGUCAAGCCCGAUUCAACCACUGAAUACCUCGAUCAAAAGAACAUGCAACAAGUCUCACACGAAGGUGAGCGCAGAUGAUACGCCAUGGUAUUUCGGUUUACAAACAUAGAGUUCAAAAUUAAUUUACAAACCAAGUUUGAAAUUCAUAAAAGAUUACAAGCUAGAGUUCUUAACUAAAAUACAGCGGAAGUCUAAAUGAUAAAGCGAGAAUAAAGAUACAUGACGAUAUGAGUAGCCCACCACAUGUCAUCAAAUGUGGGACCACCUCAAGGUGAGGUCGGAGAUCACUCAACCGUCCACCCUUCAGGUAAAGGACAGCCAUCCCAAGGUUGGCCGGUAACCAACUCUAUCAUUUCCUCACUAAGACCUGAAAGUAAACAACAAAGCAAGGCUGAGUAUACUAAUACUCAAUAAGACUUACCCAACUAUGGUACAUACUUAGUCGACUCCUAGUAUGCAAGGCUUUUGGCUUAGGGGUUUGUUUUGCCAGAAAGUGACUAAGAGUGGAUCCUUACUUUCAAGUUUUAGCAUCCAAUUUAAAGUUGAGCUAACCAUUCUACAUGAACAAUAUUUUCAAAACUUUUCAGUAUGGAAAAAAAAUUCAUUAGAUAACAACAUCAACAUCAUUUCACAUUUCCUUUCAUUCCACUUCUUACUACGAUGUGACAUGGUGAUCAAGGUUCUCUUAACCGAGAGCGGCGGUGAAUCAAUUCGAUUUAUAACCUUGCAAGGUGGACCUAUACACACGGCAUAUGCAUGCGCCGUCGAGCCGCAUAUGGCAAACAGUUUCCUUAAAGAGUGAUGGCAUUUGAGAACUCCUACGACCCUCGAGUGCUAAUCCCCACCGGUACCUUCCUAGGCCAGCCGUGAGUUAUUGACUAGCACGAAUAGGAAACAGCACCAACUCAAUCUACAAUCACGCCAUAAGGUACUAAGGCCCCGUUUGGAUACUACCUGCUAAAAUUUAGCACCUGUCACAUUGGAUUUUUGAUGCUAAUUAGGAGUAUUAAAUAUAGGCUAAUUACAAAACUAAUUGCACAGAUGGAGUCUAAUUCGCGAGACGAAUCUAUUAAGCCUAAUUAGUCCAUGAUUUGACAAUGUGGUGCUACAGUAACCAUUUGCUAAUGAUGGAUUAAUUAGACUUAAUAGAUUUGGCUCGCGAAUUAGCAUAGGGUUCUGCAAUUAGUUUUAUAAUUAGCUCAUGUUUAGUCCUCCUAAUUAGCAUUCGAAUAUCUGAUGUGACAUUGCUAAAGUUUAGCACCUAGUAUCCGAACACCCUCUAAGUUUUAUCAAUUUCAACUACCUCUUACUUCCAGCAUGUGUAUAGUACAGUUCAAACUCGAUCAGCAGGACCACAACGAACGGAUCUUAAUCGACACAGGCGGAGCGCAACCAACAACACUAACUUCCACUUCAUUUCUAUCUUCGCCUGAUCUCCAACUUUUCUUUCAUCAGUGAUUCAUUCUCAAGUAACUUGCCAUAGAUAUCGAAAGGUCCUAUGUCUCACGAGCGAUAGAAGAUCACUCGAUUUCUAUCGUUCUUAAUUAAGCAUGGCACUUCUAUUGACCUACACAUACUAGUAUUUGAACUUGGGAGUCCUAGGGAUCAUGUAACUAGGGGUCAUGCAUAAACUAAACACGUAUUUAAUAUAAUUGCAUAGUUUUGAAAUUAGGGGUCAUGCUCCGGGGCUUGACUCCCAAGCUGUAGAGUUAGAGUCAACUAGACCUUGGGCCCUUCCGACCUUGGGCCAGGUCUUCGGGCUUCUACUGUUGAUCCUUUCUCCUUGUUCACCCAUAAUCUGGUACACCACGUCCUCAGCUACGGAAUCUACAUGUAUGCCAUGACGCAAUGCAAAUGAGUUAAUAAAUUGUAAACACGACAAUGCAACUUCAAAUUUUAUGCAGUAACUCAAUCAUACAUCAAGUUAACUUUGCAGCAACUCAAUCAUACAACAUUUAAAAACCAAAGGAGACCAUACAAGUAUAUCAUUAUCUACACAAGGAAACACUAGAGUUUUCAUGUGAGACAUACCAUUAUCAAACUAAGCCAGUAAUAUUUUAGUAACUUUGGUUGCAGCAUGGUAUGAAUGCCAGGUUGUAAAUAAGUGAUUUAGCAUGUCAUGAUGGCAACAAGACCUAGGUAAAACAUAAGUGAAACUAUAGUAAUAACAUACCAGAGGCCAAAUAAAUGACAUAAAUAAGCAACCAUAGAGAUUCUGCUAGCAAACUUUUCAGGGAUGAAGAUGCUACUGAUAAAGAGCAUAAAAUAUUUUUUUAGCCCAUAAAUCUAGCAGCAAGUAUUUGUAAUAAUUUAAACUAGUUUAUAGCAAGAAUAAUUAUUUAAGAAGCAUUCUGUAUUAUAUGAACAUAAAUCAUUUACAGGAGUUUACUAAUCACCCAAAAAUAUUACUGUAGACAUUUCAGCAUGAUUGGAUUUCCACAGAAUUUAUUACAAAUCAAACAUUGCAAAACAACAGAUAUGAAGAAUAAUUUAUACCUAAAGUUAUAUAAGCAAUUUGGUUCUACAAACUUUCUAGAAUACUUUUCAACAUAGGAGUAUGAUACUGUGAAUUUAUCAGGAUUUUAUGAGUACUAGAGCUAUUUAUUCCAAAUUAAGGAGAUUAAACAACAUGUAUUUUAAUCAGCAAUAGAAGCACAUAUUUCACAAGGACGAGUAUUUUUCCUAAGUAUAUUUGAGCAUCAGGAACCCAACAAAAUUUAUUUUAUAUUUUAUCAUUUUUCUAUAAUUUUAUACGGAUUUCCAAAAUUUCAGCCAUUUCAACCAAAACUAAAAUGAAAAAAGAAAAGUUACUUUCGUGGCAAGGUCCUCGGAACAAAACUAUAUUAGCGGAUCUGCCCUUGCUUUUGCACUAAACCCCCUGAAUCUAGCACUUAGGUCCCUUGAAGUUUUCCACCUCAGCACUUAAACCCUAACCUUUUACGCAUCACCCCCUAGACUUCUAUUCUUCUCUCACCCGCGCCCUUCGCCCCUUCUUCCACCUCUAGCUCGCGCCUGAGCGGCGACGGCGUGCCAGCACCGGCGUGGGGGCUCCGCCUCCCUCACCAAAAACUACCCCUUCGCCUUCCCCACGACUUGGCGCACCUUCUCCCCCUCUUUUCUCCUCAAAACUCUAACGCUAGCCCUAGUCGUGACUGGCGGCGACGCAUGGCCGGUGGCGAGCUCACGAACGCGCACGGCAACUAACCUAAGAAGGCAAAGCGGCGAGCGCUAGGGCACCAAGAGCUCAUCAUGGCUCCGUUUGUGGGGUUAGUGGGGCAAGAGGAAGCCGGGAAGGUGGGUUUCGACGGUGGAGUGGAGUAUUGUGGCCGGCGGCAAUGGCUUGCGCGGGGACUUCAAUCCCCAGCGCUAGGGUGCAUGGCGGUGGGCAAGAAGAGAUGGAGGAGGUAGAUGGGAAGGCCUUAUAGAUUUGGGUGGCGGUGAUUUAAUUUUGGUGAAGGGCAAUGGCGGGAUUUGGCCGGCAAAGGCGCCCUGCUCGGCUCGAUUCUGUUUUGCUUCGUUUUGGCCGAAGCAAGAAGAAGGAAGAAGAAUGGGAGAGGGAAGAGGAGGCUGACUAGCUUGGAGAGGAUAAGGCCGGGCAAGAGACGGUUGGGUGCUGCGUCAAGGUGAGGGGAUGGCGGUAGUGGAGCGAGGACGACAUGAUAGUGGCGAGCGCAGGCGAGGAGGCGCUGGCGUGGCAUUAGCGGUAUGGUGCGGCGGAGCUGGUAGACGAUUGGUCAGCGACGGCAUGGUGCACAUAGGGUUUUGACGGAGCGCACACGCGUUGACUGUGAGGCUGGAUGGUUGGAGGCAGAUGGUGGCACGGUGGGGAGACCUGCUCUGUCACCCGCGGCAGGGAGAACAGAGAGAUGGGAGGAGGGAGAAAGGAGGAGUGACAGUGGGCUCGCGAUAUUUUUCUGAAAAGAUCUUUCCUCCUUCAAAAGAGCAAGCUACUACUGAUAAAAAAUCCUCCAAAAAUACCCAUUGGAAAGAUAAAAUCACAAAGAACACAAAGAAGCUUGAACCAACUGCAGAGCUAAAAAGGAUUGCAUAGAAUUUGAAAAGGAAAACAAUUAAAAUUGAAACUUCACUUAAUUUUUAUCACUAGCACACGUCACCCAAAAAUUAAGCAAAAAUUCUGUAAAUUCAUCAUUUUGCAUCAAAUAUUUAAAUAAAAUAACAGGAGGCAUAGCUACAUAGCAAAAUUUUGAACUACUUCACAAAGUUUCAUUUAAUCAAUAACUGACAAUUUAAAGGAGUUUAAACUGAUGCACUGACAUGAUACUCUUUAUACACUAAUGAAGUUAUCUAAUUCUAAGAUUAACACCUGGGGUGUUACGGGACAGGUGGGGACUGGCGAGGCACUUUUGUGGCAGGUUUGUUUUUCGGAAAGAGGUAGGGAAAUGAAGGCAAGGUGACGUGGCUGCAGGAAAAGGGUAGGCGUUAGGCAUGAUUAGUAGGAUCGUACCGAUGCUUGCUGCUUGCAUCAAUGUUGGGAUUAGUAUAUGCAACGGAAAACAAGGAUGUACAUGUCUAAUAAAGAACGGAACGGAAGCUAAUCAUGCAGUGGUUCAGCUUAAUCAUGCGUAAUUUAAUUUGGCAUCCCGAUCAUCAUGUAUACUAUGCAUGGUGUCUGCUGCCAGCUAAACCCAAUGAUCAUCGUGUGCAUGGGGAAGCUAGCUGAUGGAUAGAGAUGCACGAGGUGUUUAGUUCUACGGAUUAAAGUUUAAUCUCUGUCACAUUGAACAUUUAGAUACUAAUUAGAAGUAUUAAAUAUAGACUAAUUAUAAAAUCAAUUACACAGAUGGACAGAUGGCCUUCGUAAGUAAAGCUGCAGAGAGGAAGAGCGCUUUGCUCCGGCUCUUUCCUUGGGAGUACAAGCUGGCCUGGUCCGGCCAAGUCGGUCGGUCAAAGGUCAGGAGUCAAAUUCUCAUCAGGAGAGAACAAAAGAACGGUCAGAGUCAGAGAUAUGCAUCGUUGAAAGUUGAACCACACAGGACGGCUUGGACUUGGGCAUCACGCUCGCAGCUGGGCCGUACUGUGUGGGGUGCUCUGCUGGCUGUCGAGAGAGAAAUAAAAAGACUCCUUGAGUGAACCGAGGGCGCCUUUACCACUUCCACCCACCUAUUUAGAGAUAUGGCUAAUAGAUAGUACUAAAGUUCAUGAAAUAUCACUUAUACCCUUUUAUCUUCUUACCUUUUUCCUUUCUCUCUCCCUCUUGUUGUCUUUUCACAAGCUAUUAGGACACAUUAGCUCUUCCCCACCAGCUAGUGUUUUUUGCACUUUUUUGAGAUGGGCUAAAGUUUAGCCUGUGGGAUAUAUAAGCACUUUUAGUUUUAAUUUAAUCUAAAAAUAAAUCAUGAAUACGAUGAACAGAUAGCAGAUUAAACUAGACAUGUCUACGCAAGAUCUAGACAAGUCUAUCAUUGCAAAUAGAAUCACACAUUCUACCAUACUAUCCAGUGCUAUCAGACUGCAACAGAUCAUAAUAGCUAGUAUGGAAGAUAUAACCUGAGAUAAGAGAUCGUACGUUUCUUUCUUGAUGAAGACCGGCUCCUGGACGACUACCGGGUAUAGCAGGCGACGACGAUCAGCAGCCUGACGUUGUUCGCGACGGCGAGUGACGCCCGAGUGACGAAGAGGUAGACGAGCCGUGGUGAAGGAGUCGACGAAGAACUUGACGAAGUGGAGGAAGCAAUCGAGCAGUCGCGCAGAGCGCUUCCCAAAAACCUUAUUCGCCCUCUCCCGGUGCAGGAUCGCUGAAGACGACGGUUCUGGAGACCUGCUCUCCCAAUCGCCGGUGCACGCCGACAAUCGGGAUGGAGUAGAUUACGGUGGCGGCGCAGCAGCGAGAGGAGGCAAAAACCCUAGCUCAAAUAGAUCUAUUUUUGGUAGAGGCCGGUAGGUCGUAUAUAUAGGAGAGCCCACGAUUCUCACGUCGCGAUCGUGAUCUAAACUGGUUAGGAUUUCAUAUAUCUCGCUGACUUAAAGACCAAGUAAUCAAAAAAUAAAAUGGCAAAAGGAAGCCGCGCCCCCGCAAGGGAGGGGCCGGAUUUCGGCGGACCAUUCACGCAGGUGCCGCGCGCCCGCGCCCUUCGCCCCACCCGGCGAGGCGUGGUGUGGCGAGUGAGUGCGCGCGUGUGGAGCUCUCCUUCUCUCCCCACACACAUAGCUUGGAGGAGUGGAGACAACUUCCAUAUUUAAGUUGGUUAUCCCUUCCCUCCACUAGUAAUGUGGGAUUAAAAACUUGCACCACUCCACCUCUUGCCCACAUGAGCCUUUGAGAUUUAUUUGGAAUUCUGAAAUUACUAUGGGCUCUCCCGUUGCAUAGAGGUGCUAAACUUUAGAAUUUUCACCCGUUAGCGCAUGAUCCAAACAGAAAUGAAAGGAGCAGCUAUCACAGGUUUUGUCUGACAGUAUAUAUAUAUCGGCAGCCUGCUUCUUCAUCUCAAAAGGUGGUCACACACACACUAUCAUAUAUGCUUCUGAAUCUGCAUUGCCAUGACCUUUUGUCAACACAAUGUGGCUUUCAUUUGCUGAGGAAAAAGAAUCAAGGAAUGCCGAGCUCAUGAACUUCUACUAGUGCUUCAGCAACAAAUCAUGUAGCCGUGGUUUUCAUUCAGUUCAUGCCUGAAAGCUAAGUGCUGAAAAGCAUUGCUUGAGUGCAAUCUUUUGAUGAAUCUGGAGAAAGCUGCCGAGCAAACCAGCCAAUAUCUAUUCCUGUCAUCAUCCGGCUGAGGCGAAUAUGGUUCAUUGUCACGGCAAAACCUUAGAGAAUCAUUUUCCACAUGGUGCUCUCAGCAUUGUAAGUUCUGAAACUGUAAGGACACAACGAUCUGCUUCAUAUCAGGAGAAUGCAUCGAAUCAGUUUGACGAGUUUUCCUGAAGCCAUCUGAACGGAGAAAGAAAUUCUCGUGUCAUUUUAUCCGAAGCAGCUAUAUAUACUUUUUAUUUCUGAGGAGAUGAAUUGCAAAUUUGUCAGAAGUCAUGCUCUCAUUUAUAUGCAUGCAUGCUGCAUCGACAUGACGGCAUCUGGCUGCCUCAACUCAGCAGCUGAGAAAUUCGCAAUGGCCAAGUAUAAAAACUUUGUCAGUUCAGUUGGGCAGCAUUAUUGUGGAUGAUGCAGUUGUUACAGCAGUUCAAUAAUCUAGCACACUUUAGUGAAUACCAAAAAAGAAGAAGAAGAAGACAGUCACACCAUUGUCUGACAAAUUGAACAACUGAAGUUUCCUGAAAUGUUCUUAACUCAUUAUCAUGUCUGAUAUGAAUUAGGUACCACGGGGCACACAGUAUGCAAGACUGCAAACCACACUUUCCAUUGCCAUGGCCUUCAAAGUACAUAGGAUUCCAUCAACUAUCUUCAGUGAUCGCAAACAGAAAAAUUGAACAUGCAGAACAGCUGUGAGCAUAUGAGCUAUGGGAUACUGGAUGCAAGUUUUCUUCUCUGACCAAUAUGAUCAGUUGAACACCUUUAAUAGUCAGUAAUGUAUCCAUCUUGCCCUCCAGUGGUCAGAAAGAGGAAGCUCGCUACUGAUGUGAACUGAAUCAUCAGCUUUGUUUCAAUUUACUUGUAUCUCGGUGUGAAGUCACGGUGAAUGUGUGAUAGAGUGAUAGCUACAAGAAAUUUCUUGAAAACAGCACGAUCCAGGCCAUAGAACUAUCUUACUGCUAUUACUAAAUGGAGGGUAUUUUUAGAGUAUCCAUGUUAAUGCUCACAAGACAAGUGCUAAAAAAAGAUAAAUUCUAAAAUUCUCACAAAAAUCAUCAACAUCCGGACAUCAAUCCGAUGGAUUCUAUAAUCAUCAUGGAUAACAAUAGUCAUUGGACUAUUAUGUUUUCUAGUGAGUGGUAUGACACGUUUGUAACUCUUUGUUUGUUUCCUUUCACUGGAAAAAUGUGGAGAGUGAUGUCGCUGUGCUUGUAUGCGUGCGUCAGGUUUGUUCGCCAUAUGUUUCAUCCCAUAUGUCCUUGUUCUGCUGCAUGGUUGGGGAAAGAAUUCCUUGUUUUAAGCACUGAAAGUGUAGUACAUUAAGCGCGCGUGAAUAGCUUCAGGCUAUCAUGGUGUUCGGGUGACCUGAUCGAAACGAUUCACUGAAGCCAACGAUCAUCAGACUUGACGGUUCCGUGACAAGCUUCAGUUCCCGCGAAAUUCUGCCACAGCAUUUCUUCAGAAUAAACUUAGCCCUUGUUUGUUUCUUUAGGAGCUCCUAAAAUUCCUAUCACAUCGAAUGUUUAGAUACUAAUUAGGAGUAUUAAAUAGCCUAAUUACAAAACCAAUUGCACGGAUGGAGGCUAAUUUGCGAGACGAAUCUAUUAAGCCUAAUUAGUUCAUGAUUUGACAAUGUGUUGCUACAGUAAAUCUAUGCUAAUGAUUGAUUAAUUAGGCUUAAUAGAUUCGUCUCGGGAUUUAGCCUCCAUCUGUGUAAUUAGUUUUAUAAUUAGCUCAUGUUUAGUCCUCCUAAUUAGCCUCCGAAUAUCUGAUGUGACACGGACUAAAUUUUAGCUCAAGGAUCCAAACGUCCUCUAAAAAUCCAAACACCCCUUUAAGCUCAGCCUGUCCGGUACCCAUUUUCAGCACCCACCCAAAAAUUCUGUUCCCAUGGUAGCCAGCAGGGAUUUGCAAACAGGCCGGCUCGUGACGUUGCUAGGUACUACCUCCAAGGCUCCAGCUGCUAAGCAUUCUCCAAUGAUGUUGCAGUAUUUUUUUUUUGAAAUAAAUGUUGCAGUAUUUUCCAUGUGGAGUUGGAUUGGAACAACCUCUGGGGUACAGUAUAGGCGGCACGACCUAUAAUUCUGUUUCGAAAGAAAGAUGACUCAUCCGCUAAUCACCUGAAGGAUUCGCCGCAUAUUCUGCGGCAUCGCCUGUUUCAUUAUAUUAAGCAUGAUAUAAAGUUGUAAAUUGGAGCCUUCGACAUCUUCUGAACCUUGACGUGAUGCAUGCAGGCGUUCCGAUCGGAGACAUACGUCGGCGUGACUUUUUGUCGCUGGCGCGUGGCCCCGGCCUGUCAGCGGCUCAAUGUUACGGUGACGUCACCGUACCCGCCGCCAGCUUCGUUUUUGAAACUGCAACGGCACACAGAACUUCAGAAGCCGGCCGCGGGUGUCGAGAGGGGAAAGAACAAUUCGGGAAUCCCCAGGCCCGGCACCGACAGGAAACGGCCGGCGGGCGGUCGCGUAUCCUGACUGGCUCCAGUGCCUGCCACCCCCCAGCGGAGCACAUCGCCCGGUCGCGGUUCCUCGCGUUGGUCUCCCCGUCGCCGUCCUUGGCUUUCUCGCCGCGCAUUGGUCUCCCCUCCUCCAAAUUCGCGCCACGGCGAUGCCACACGACACACCGCCGCGUCCACGGUCCACCACUCCACCCCCACGCUCCGGCUCCGGGAUCGGCAUGGACGUGAAAGCCUCCUCGCCUUCGCCCGCGCCGCCGCCGUCGCCGGGCGCCACGCUCUCCGCGGUGAUCGCCGAGGACCGCCGCCGGGAGGCCAGACGCCGCCGCCCGGGAGGGCUCGGGCAGGGCGGCGUCCUCCCGCUCCUCGUCCCGGCGUGCGGGCGCCCCGCCGGGCAGGUGGGCGGCAGGACGGCGCACUCGCAGCUCAUGCUCCGCCUCCACCGCUGGGGCGCCUCGUUCCUGCCCAAGGGCGGCGGCGCCGUCUCGCGCGAGCUCGAGGCCAGGCGCCGCGCGCCGAGCCCGCCGCCACGGCCUCGACCAUUGCCGCCCGCUGCGGCCCACGUGGUGGUGCCGCCGCCGCCGCCGCCGCCGCCGCGCCACGAGGCGCCCGCCGUGAUGAGCGCGAGUGUCCCCGAGGGGAGGCCUUUGAGGGAGAGAGAGGAGCCCGCCGUCCGCGCGCCGGCGCCUGGAUCCAAAGCCACUGCCGAAGCGGACACGUCCGUCGGCGGCGAGAGCGCCGGGAGCAACGAGCACGCGGCGCCAGCAACGCCCGCCGGGGGAACCUGGCUCAGAGUUUCGCCCAAGACGACAGUGAGAUCUCUGUCGCUGCAGACGGACACCAGCGACGAGUCCCCUCGGUCCCUAGCCGACUCCCCCGCGCUGGCGGUGGAGAGCGCGGACAUGUUCGUGUGGGCGGACAAGUACCGGCCCAAUGUGCUCAGCGAGUUCAUCUGCAACAGGGCCGUCGCCGACGAGCUCCACCAGCUGGUGAUCAACACCGUCACAUUGCAAACCUUCCUUCCUUCUCGUAACAUUCUGGCUUUCAAAGUCAAGCAAGCAUUCACCGAACUCCGAUGUAGUGAACUAGUGAUGUUACAAGAUUACCUUGUCAAUCUGAGCUGGUUCGGUAUUUGCAAUUUCGUCUUAAAGCAGGUUCGCGUGACUAAUUAUUCUUUUACUCAUUUUUUGGAUGUAGGUUAUUGCACACCAUUGCGGACAUUUCAUAUUUGAAGGGCAGCCGGCAGUUGGGAAAAGAAGCAUGGUGCUGGCACUUAUAAGGGAUGCUUUUGGUCCUCAUGGUCUCAAGGUCACUAUUACAAACUUCUCUUAGGGCUGGUUUGGGUGCACCCAUUCUCCUUGUGAAUUGGAGGGAUAAGCUACUAGUCCUCAUUCUGAGAAGCUAAACCUCGGUUUUCACAAUCUUUUUGUGUUUUGUUCAUCAUGUUAUCUCACAUGUUGUUAUGUUUUGUUCAUCCUGCCAUCUCACAGAUAGAGGAACAGACAAAGAGAUUUGAAUUGAAGGUACUAUGAAGGAACAUGCUGUUGUUCCAAAAUCAUAGAAUGCAAUCUAUUCUAGAAUCAUGUUCCAUAGUCAUCUACUGACCGAUUUCUACAUUGUAGGGAGAAAUUAGAAAGCAUAUCGAUGUCAGAGUGAAGAUUUCAGGACAUCAUGUGGAGGUUAGCUUGGCCGAUUUACAUGGCUAUGAGAAGUAUGUCAUAACGAAUUUGCUGAGUGAAUCGAUCCCAUCACCAAACUUGGUUUGUGACCAUACUAACUGCAGAGGUAACUUGCAAUACUUUAUUAAUGAAAGUUGGAAUUUGAACUGUAUGUUCAACAUUUAUUCAGUGGCAUUUUGACAUUAUGUGUUCAAGCAUCGGUGGUUUAUUUUAUGUGCAGUGGUUGUUAUCCAUGACGCUGAUAAGCUCUCGUCCGAUCUUCAACAUUAUAUUGGUUGGUUUUUGGGGAGGUACGCAGGGUGUAACAAAAUUAUUUUCUGCUGCUCUGAUGCUUCUAACCUUGAAGCUGUAAAACAUCUCUGCAAGGUCGUGACUCUUCAGCCACCUUCAUUUGACGAGGUACUUCGCUGCACAACUUUUUGACCUGUGUUAAGUGCAUGAUGUUUUUUCACUUAUUGUGCUGGACAGUCUGCUGAAAGAUGAUUUGCUCUUACCUAGAUAAUAAAGGUUCUAGAGUACAUUGCAGCGCAAGAGAGCAUUGAUUUGCCUCGUGAUCUUGCUAGGAGAAUAACAGUAAGCGCAAGUAAUAAUCUCCGACAGGCAAUACGUUCUUUUGAAGCUACUUGGAAGGCAAAGUAAGCACCAUAACAAGAUCUUUUCUCAACUAUUUUACACAAAAGAAUCUAAAAUUUCAUAUUUGGAUAGUAGGGAUUGUCAUAACAUUGGUUCACAUAUUUUCUAGAUGAAGUAUAACUUCUGGAAUCCGCAGCAACUAGGGUGGACAUUGCAAUUUAACUCCAAACAUCUAAAUAUGUGCUCUGAUAUCAUUAUGUGAAUAAAAAACAAACGCACAUGAUAGUUACAAUGUGUUUGAAUUAUCUGUUGUUUUCUGAAUGUCGCAAGUGGUAUGACAUUAUUUUGUAUGAAAGUUAUUAAUCUUUUGCCUAUCAAGGUGUAUGUAUAAUUCGCUCUCCUUGUAGUGAUUCCCUUUUUGCAACUAUGUGUUCAUAUUGCUGAAAUGAAGUGAUUAUCAGUGGAACUUCUGCAUAUAUCAGUAACUCUGCUUACAAACGCAGCUACCCAUUCAUAGACGGCCAAGUUAUUUUGACAGGAUGGGAAGAGGAUAUCUCUAAUGUGGCCAGAAAUAUCAUCGAGGAGCCAAGUUCAAAGCAGUAAGCAUCCCAUACGUCCUGAUGUUUCUGUUAGACUUAAUCUUGUUGAUUUGUGUGAGUUGUUAAUUGUGUCGUGUGUGUGUCAGCGUUAUGUGUCGUUGGCUAGUUAGUGGUGUACGUGUGCUGCAUGGUGUAGUGGCCGGAUCGGCGAUGCGAAGUGAGCGGAUCGGCAACUAGGUGGCAGUGCCAAAUGUGACGCAGAGUCAGCUGUGCAGUUUUUUCUCGGUCAGGUGCUUGGUCUAGUCGUGGUGCAUGUUCAGGAGCUGGAAGCGGUAUGUGCGCACUCUGGCGGCUGUUGGAGUUGAACGUGUACGAGCUGUUACCUUGGAUACUGCUUUGCAUGUUCGAUGCAUUAGUGUAGGGAUUAGCUAGCUUCUUGACUGGUUCUUGCGGCUAGUGGUUGAGCACGUCGCUGAACAGAGGCCAAGGCUACUAGUGUGUGUGUGAAAAAUAUAGAGAAAAAGUACAAGUAUUGUGCAGUGUCGGAAAAGCUCUGAGUGCCCUUUUCAAGUGCCCUGUGCGUGCGUGUUUCUUCUGGUGAGAGUUCAAAGUAUCUCCGAGAGCUAGUGCUCGUGUGCGUGUGUCCACCUUAUGUGAGGGAGCUGAGGGGCUGGGCCAACAAGUGGUAUCAGAGCCUAGGAGAUGUCUAGCAAUGGAGCGUACACGCCGCCGAGCCGAUGUCCUGGCAAAGGUGUUGCGGGUGACGGCAACGACGACAGCAAGCUGGUGGUGCAACAAGUGAAGGAGGCGGGGGUGACACUACGUUACCCCAUGCUCGCAGCGAACAACUACGGCGUGUGGGCGGUCAAGAUGAAGAUCUUCAUGUGCGCACAAGGUGUGUGGACGGCUGUGGAGAGCAAAGGUCCGGUUGAUGAGAAGAUGGACCAAAUGGCUCUUGCCGCCAUUGUCCAAGCUGUGCUAGAGGCCGUGGUGAUGGCCAUUUCCGAGGAGAAGACGGCGAAGAAGGCGUGGAAAGCUCUCGAGGAGAUGCACGUCGGUGAAGAGCGCGUCAAGAAGGCCCGAGUAAAAACCCUCAAGAGGGAGCUUGCUUGUAUGUAUAUGGGCAAUUCCGAGAAAAUUAAUGAUUUUGCUUUGAAGGUCACCACAAUCGUGAACGAGAUUCGCUCUCUCGGCACGAAAGUGGAGGAGAUCACAGUGGUCGAGAAGCUCCUGUAUUCUAUCCCCGACAAGUUCAGACCCCUCAUCAGCACCAGUGAGCAAUGGGGGAAUGUGGAGGAGAUGUCGGUAAUGGAGACGAUUGGACGCUUGAGGGCGUUCGAGGAGUCUUCAAAGGGGUGGCGUCGUGACAAGGAGGUGGAGCAGCAGCUGUUGGCCGCAUGUGCUGAGCCACGGCUCACGCGUGCCGAGUGGGAGGCCAUGGUUGCUCAAGAGAAAAUGAGCAGCAAUGACUCCAACAGCAACGGCAACAAGACCGGUGAGAAGAAGUACUGCGACAAGUUCGACAAGUCCAAGAUCGACUGCUGCAAUUGUGGUGAGUUCGGACACUUCGCCGAUGAGUGUCCCGUGGAGAAGAAAGUGCAGAACGGUGUGGCGCAACUCGUCGUGGCGGACGUCGAUGACGAGCCCACGCUGCUGUGAAGCCCAAUGCGAAGGUGCAGAAUAAAGCCAACAAGAUUAGGGGGUGAUUGUUAGACUUAAUCUUGUUGAUUUGUGUGAGUUGUUAAUCGUGUCGUGUGUGUGUCAGCGUUAUGUGUCGUUGGCUAGUUAGUGGUAUACGUGUGCUGCAUGGUGUAGUGGCUGGAUCGACGAUGCGAAGUGAGCGGAUUGGCAACCAGGUGGCAGUGCCAAAUGUGACGCAGAGUCAGCUGUGCAGUUUUUUCUCGGUCAGGUGCUUGGCCUAGUCGUGGUGCACGUCCAGGAGCUGGAAGCGGUAUGUGCGCACUCUGGCGGCUGUUGGAGUUGAACGUGUACGAGCUGUUACCUUGGAUACUGCUUUGCAUGUUCGAUGCAUUAGUGUAGGGAUUAGCUAGCUUCUUGACUGGUUCUUGCGGCUAGUGGUUGAGCACGUCGCUAAAUAGAGGCCAAGGCUACUAGUGUGUGUGUUUAAAUACGAGAUCAUAUAAUCAGCUUGGGUGUGAAAAAUAUAGAGAAAAAGUACAAGUGUUGUGCAGUGGAAAAGCUCUGAGUGUUCUUUUCAAGUGCCCUGUGCGUGCGUGUUUCUUCUGGUGAGAGUUCAGAGUAUCUCCGAGAGCUAGUGCUCGUGUGCGUGUGUCCACCUUGCGCAAAUGUGAACUUCUUUAAACAUCUGAAGAGAAAUAUUUUGUUUUGUCGCAUGUGCAGACUGUUUGUUAUCCGGGGAAAGAUCAGAAAAUUGAUUGAACAUAAUGUGUCACCUCAUUUCAUUUUCUCGGUAAGCUUUGUUUAGCUAAUGUAUCUGUGAUUUCUAUGUUUCAGUCAGAAUCUGCUUUUGCCAUAUUUUAUUACUGUUCAGUCUCUAUUUUUGUUUUCCUUUUCCCUGAUGUAGCACUUAGUCGCAGAAUUGAAAAGGGACAAGGAUGAAGAGUUUCAGCACAGUAUUGAUGAACUGGCCUCGGAUGUGAACCAUGUAAGAGUUGGUGGCAUCUCCUGCGACUGUUAGUUUUCAUUUGUCAGCUACAAGACUACAAUUAGUGUGACACACAUUUUGUUUGGUACCCUCUGGCUAGUGUAAAGAAUGCAAGCACCUAAAAGAGCAGAGCAAAGGAUGCAAAUCUCGGGAGGCAGAUUUGAAAAUGAGAAAUAUGAACGUAGAAGAUUUUACCGAGAAGGUUCGUGACCAUGGUGAAAGCAUCCAAUGCUUUAUAAAGAUUGAAGGUACUAUCAGUUCUUUGUUUUCAAUUUACUUCUGAAGUCUAGUCCGGUGAGGCACUAAAUUGACCAUGUGAUAAUGCUCGCAGAAUUCACCGUGAGGUUCCUGAGCUUCUACAGAUCCUUAAAAGCAAAGAAAUCGAAUAGUGGAGGUGCUCAAUGAAGAACGACUCAUCGCUUUGGUCGGCAAAUCUCCUCAGAUCUGCCGUACCACUGGUACUUAAAUAAGAUGUGAUGCGUCUUUGCAUAAUUGAAGUGCCUCUAUAUGGUGGUCUUAUGUCUACACCCUGUAUGCAUUUAUAAUACGUCCAAUUUCACAUAUGCUGCUACUGUUAUAUAAUUAUAUUAAUAACAAAGAUGAUGUCUACAGCUGCCAAAGGGGGAAACUGCAAAUGGAUGCCCAUAUAAAAGGAUAGCCAACCAAUAGCAAGAAUUGAACGUUUGGCUAUCCUUUUAUAUUUGUAAAUUAUUAAUUAGAAUUCUAUAUAUAUAGUAUGGACAAUGUUUUCCCUUUCUAGCUAGGCAAAUUCUUCUGUGUUUUUGGAACACGUGUCUAGGCAUUUUUCCACAGCAGUUUAAGUUCUCUGCUGAAACUGGGUAGUCUCAGGUUUUGAAAACCGAGGCUUGUGUGAAGCAAAAUUUGUUUGGAGCCACGAAUGCAACUAGCACCAGUAAUGGAGUUUAAAAUUAGUGCUGUCCUAACUUUAGAAUAUCCUUGUUUAUGCAUGCAUGGCUUCCAACCAUUCGAGUCCCUGGUUCGUCUACCUCCUGUCCAUUGCUGAAAUUCAGAACGCUGCAGUUAGUAAUGAACCGUCAUCUACAGUUCCGAUUUUCUGAUCACAACGCUAAUGAACAAUAUCUACAUCUGCAUGAAUGCUAUGCAUUAUCAUGCAUGUAUAUAUCUGUAACUGUGUAUGUGCAUGGGGUACAGUUCGUUCGUUGGUGUAACAUAUACAGAAAAUUCACUCGCAAAAAUUCACAGUUCCAGUAUCACCAUGGAUGCAGAUCCUGGCAGCUAGCUAUCCUCAAACCACACCCUAAAAAUUUCUAAAAGAAAAGGAAAUCUAGAGAACUCGCCGACGACCUGGCACUCGGCGCUUGGCCACCAUGUAUGUCACCGGUCCUCAGGUCGCGAUCGCACGCCACCGCUCGCCGGGUCUGAUGCCGUGCUUGCUCGCUGACCGUCAACCACGAUAGAGAUACGGCCACCGUCGCCGUCGCCAGGCGGGGGCGGCGGCGCGUCGAGCUCGGAGCGGCAGACGGGGCACGUGGUGUGCGCGCCGAGCCAGGAGUCGAUGCACGCCGUGUGGAACGCGUGGCGGCAGACGGUGAGCAGGCGGACGGCGUCGCCCGCGGCGAACUCCGACAGGCAGACCGCGCACUCGGCGAGCGCCGGCGCUGGCGACCGCGGCGUCGCUUCGAUCCACCGGACCGUGGGGAACGUGGCGAGGACCGCGGGGUCCAGACCGGCCGGCUUGGGCAGCGCGUUUGCGUCCGGCGUGGCUUCGCCGGCGCCCGACUCGUCGGCGUCCGCACCGGCGCGGAGGCGGCGCCGGCGGCGGAGCCAGAGGGAGAAGAAGUGGAGGAGGUCGCGCAGGAGGAAGAUGGAGAGGAAGCAGAGGAGGAGCACGAAGAGGAUGAACACGGGCAGCAGCAUCGGGAACGGCUCCCGAGGCGGCGCCGGCGGCGGCCGCUCCGGGGCACCCGGCCUCGAGGGAGACCCAGCGGCGGCGCGGCGGUGGGCGCGGGGGUCAUCGUGGCUGGCAUUGACGAGGAGGCGGCGCGCGGCCGUGGCCACGACCGUGUCCAUGGGCGCAUGGGGAGGGGCGAUCCGGGUAGGCUUUUAGGCGCGCGCGGGCGCGUGUGGCUGAUGGUGCUCGCGGGAGGGCGGGCGGGCGAGCGGGCGUUUGGUUGGGCGUCGUCGGUGUCUAUGGCGGGUGGUGGAGCCGUGAGCUUUACGGUGAGGCGAAGGCGACGCCGGGACGGCACGACACCGACAUGCACCAGGCGCGCAUGCGCACAGCCGCUUGGCCCCCCCGCCCGCCGGCCGGUGGAGACGUGAUGCGACGUGGGACGGUGGGAGGAGGCCGGCAAGGGCGCAAGGCAAGGUAGCCGCGCGUCGUGCGUGGACUCGUGGUUGGUGCCAUGGCGUGUGGUGGGCGGCUGGGCGCGCGCUGCUAUAUUUGAGCUGCGUUUUGGUUCUGUUUUCUUUUUCGCCUGUUGUUGGGGUCCGCUGGUCGAUGACAGCCGCGCUGCCACGUCUGAUGCCGAGGAGUAGCGAGCUCAAACAGGGCAGGGUGGGCGCCAUGCCGCCAUGCACUUUUUCCCUCUGUGGCAACGUCAGAGAUUUACCACGAACACGAGGUACGGUCGCCGGUGAUGGUCACGGUCUGGGUAGGAAAAACUCAUGCCUCCUGCGCCUUUGCAUCGAGUCGAGUGAAACCUGCAUACUUGCAUCAUCUAAGAUGCUGAGACGAUGUAUGGACAUCAGUAUUUCACAUGAAUCAUUUUUGCCCUUGAAAAUCACACGAAUUCCACACUUUUUUGACGUGGUGUUCCCUUUUUUACUCAGUUUUAUACACCGACUUAGUCCAUCUAAAAGCUUGGUCUCCUGCUACCCCUUUUUUUAACUCAUAGUCUUCCUGCUACUGCUUGAAGGCAGACAGUUUCAAGUUACUUUGACCAAUGGCCAGAAAAAAUCAUUUGAAGUUUGAUAAUUGUUUGUUACGCUUGUACUUGCGGAGGGGCUCUCUACCGGAAGAUGGUUAAGGGAUUAAACUAUAAGUCCACGUCGGACUAAUUAAUUUUCUCGCACCGUGUCGGACAUAUAGCAGCGUCGGACUUUUUUAACUUUUUUGAGGAUGUUUUUUUUUCACAUGACACCAGUUCUUAACUGACUGCCGCAUUUUUUUGACUUUUUUCUUGGCACGUGGUUUAAAGUGGGAUACUAACAGGUUGGGCACUUGCAACUUAAAGUUUGAAGUUUAAUAUACUAAUAUAUAAUUUUUACAUGUGAUCGGUAAGAUAUGCCCAACCAAAAAAACACAAGUCAGAAGGAAGUUGUUAUUACAGAAAUUUGAGAACUAACAAAUCAGUAAUAAUUAACUAAAUAAACUCCAGGUCUAUUUGAUCUUCAACUAAGAAACAUCAACAACCCUAGAAUGAAUCAUCUCCUCAUGAAGAACUGAGCACCUGUUAAUAAUAAGCAUAGAAUUAUAGUAAGCUUUAGAAAUGUUGGGAUAUGAAAAAGAAAUUGUUAGAAAUAUUGACUAUCAGAAUAACUUUGAUAAGAUAAUUGUUAAAUAGUAAAUGUUAAAUUUUCUAAAACUGAUGAACCUAAUGGUGAAAAAAUUGUUGAAUUCAGGACAGUUGAGCCUAUUCGUGUAAAAUUGUUAGACAUUCAUAUCUAGUGGUAACUAAAAAAUGUUGGAAACUAGAAAUGUUGGAAACAUUCAUCAUAAAAGGUGACCAUGCAGGUAGAAAUAUUCAAAACAUUUACUAGUCGUGUAAUUGUAACAAAAUGUUAGAAAGAUGCAGUUUUUAUAUCAUAACAUUGAAAGUAUAAAACAUAUAUAAUCAUUGAUAGGAAACUCGUGACAAACCUGGAAGCAAAAGGUAGAGAACAUUUGAAUUAAAGUAGCAUGUCGAUAAACUUUUCAUGAAAUUUGUUAGACUUGUAAGAGAGGAGUUGGAAUAAAGAUAAGAUGAACAGCUAUUGUCCUCAUAGAAUAUCAUAAUUGAAUGUCUUAAAAAGACCUUUUGAGCUUCUUGUUGGGGGAAAUAUUAACGACCUCCCAAUGACCCCUAAGACAACAAUCAUGAAGGCCUAGGCCCACCUGCGAUACUGGCGAUUGCCGCCCGCCCAGCAUGGGCAGGGAACAUCCCGCUCCGUCUCACCCGACCCAGGGCCCCGGGGUCGGACACUCCCGACCUCUCGAUUGCAAAACUCCGCCUCGCCCGACCCACGGUCCCAGGGUCGGAUGCGCCCGACCCCUUGCCGCAAGGUUCCGCCUCGCCCAACCCACGAUCCCAGGGUCGGAUGCGCCUGACCCCUCGCCGCAAGGUUCCGCCUCGCUCGACCCCGGGCGUAGGGGGUCGGACUCAUCCGGGCCCACAAGAUAAGAAUCUGCCUCGGGCGCAGACUGGCAGACGAGGGCGCGGAUCUCUUGGGCUCCUCACCGAUCUCGCCAUAAAUGCACCGCGGCUCUGACGCGUAGAAAGGCGCCCACGCCCCCCGACGUGGCCGCCACAAGUAACCGGGCGGAACACUGUAGCCACAGGCUACAGUAGCCGCGGCUCCCCCUGAUUCGUCAAGAGGCACUCAUGGCCUGCGCCGCCCGGCACAGGAGGGAGCUCCGCCCGUUCUCGCGCCCCGCGUAUCUGGCGACAGGGACGCGACGUCCGUGUUCCACAGACCACGAGCAGGACAACAGGGGUCAGCCGUCUUCCCCGACGUGCACAGUCGCCACGACCGGACACCAUCAUCAUGCUUGGCGGCAACGGUCGCCAGGGAGAUCGUCGACAGGAUCCAAAGGCAGCCGCCCUCCUCCGGUGGAUGCGCUGACAGGAGCCAAAGAUCGGAGCAGGAGGCGGCGACCGGGGGACUUGGUCCUCCUCCUUGUAUUUUUACUUUACUUAGCUUAUCUCUUUUACUUCUCAUCACACCUGACUCAUCUGUAACCCUGAGCUCUCCUUGCGCUAUAAAAGGAGAACCAGGGGCUCUGAGACAGGGGACUCUCAAGCCAACAGAACUCACAUACACUCUCCACGAGAGCAUCAGUGCACACCCAAGAGACUUGGGACCAGCUCCCUCUCUCGCCUGCCUGUAACCCCUACUACAGACCCCGCGUGGGCAACACGAGCAGCUCCUGAUACUGGACGUAGGGCUUUCCUUGCCCAAACCAGUCUAAUCCCGUGUCUUCCCACGCCACCAUCCGAAGCCUUACGCACAUAAAAGAAAUUUACUAGCCGUAGUUUUGAUCCGCUAAUCUUGACAACGACAGUUGGCGCGCCAGGUAGGGGACCUUUGCGCGUACAUCACCGGCUUUAGAUGGCAAGCCAUGACGCCAGCUUCGCUCCGGGCUCCCUCGUCCGCUUCGGGAGCUUGGACUUCCUCACCACGGGGGAGGGGAUCGAGCUGAUCCUUCUCCUUGUCUUGCUCGCUCGCCCCGUCAUCCCUGGCUCCGCCGCUGGGAUAGUGGCGAGCGGACGGGCGCGCGCCACGGGGCCUCCUUCGGAGGAGUGACCCUUUCGACUGCGCAAUGCCGCGGUGGCCUACGGUCGCUCCUUGGCGCGGUCCAUGACCGCCCGCGAGCAACAAGCUCGUGGGCGUGGCGAGGACAACUUCCAACGCUGGCUUCAACAACGGGAGCCACCACCCCUCGCGCGAGUGCUUCAUGGCCGACGUGCACUCCGAGGGAUCCAAUGAUGACGGCACUGGAGGGAGGCAGCGGACUCCCCCACCGCGCGUCGUGGCCACGACUGGGGCCCUCGCCAGGGCCCUGGUGCGACCACGACAGCCAGAGGCGCGCGCGGCGUCCUGUCAGGAGGUUGAGCGCCCCCGCAACGAAGGCGGUGCACAACAACGGGCGCGCAACGUCCAGCAACGCAUCUGCGCGUAUGAAGAUCGCCCUCAGCUCUUCACCCGCGCCAGUCAGAAUAUCGUCGCAGCAACAGCCCUACUCCGAUGACUCCCCGAGCCGGCGACGCCCGAGGAGCGUCAGGCGCACCAGGAGGUGCGCAACGUGCUCGAGUGUGCCGCCAUCCAGCAGGCAGAGAGCUCCGCAUCCUGGAGACGCGGGCAAAACGCUAGCAGGGCAGCGCCCACCGCACCCCCCGAGAGGCGGGGGCCAUCUGUCCACCAGCUUCUUUGUAACGCCCGUAAAAAAAUCUACCAAAUUAAAUCACUCGCUAAAAAUGCAUUCCAAAAUUUUCCGACCGUUGAGCUCCCGAAAAAUCCUUUCGUUUCUGUCGGACCCGCCGUCCCGGCACCCGACGUCGUCAACCCUCUUUUUCCGUUCCCCGCAAAUUUCACGGCGUGCUGGACGGAAGACCGCCGCGCGUGCCCGCGACCAUUUCCGCAAUCGUCGCCAUCUAUUUCUUUUUCCUUCUUUCCCUUCUUUCUUUUUCUUUCUGUUUCCUUCUCUUUCUUUUCUUCCUUUUUCCUUCUCGCACCAGCAGCACCUUAUUUUUUUUUUCCUACGCAUGCAUGCAUGCUUCUCGCACCAGCAGCACCUUAUUUUCUUCCUACGUAUCCAUGCAUGCAUGCAUGCACCUUUUUAUUUUAUUUUCUUUUCUUUCCCUUGGAACCUGGUGCUGGCCGCAUGCACCGCUUAGCUCCGCAUGUAGGCGUCUCUUUCCUUUUUACUGGUCGAGUGCUUGCUUCUCCUUGGCACACGUGCCUACACCUGGCCCUGCCUGGUCCUUGCAUGCAGUGUUGCCUGGCUCCCACAUGCACAACACUUAUCCUCUAUCGCAGCCAGCACUGCACCUGGCGUCGGGCCCUGUGCGCCUGCCCGCUCAGUCACCUCCGGCCCCUGGCCUCGCUCCUACCAGCGCACGCGCCAGCGCUAGCGCGCCCCUGGCCCCUCGCACGCGCCCGCUCGCCCAAGCGCCCGCGCAGGCUCCUGCCGCCGCUCCACCAUAGCACGCCGCUUGCCCGCACCAGGCCAUCCGCACUCCGCUCGCCGCCCCGCGCCAGCUCCACUGGCUAAACUGCUAGGCUUCAGGUGUGCUGGUGAGCGACGGGGGCCCAUGGAAAAGGAUUAAGCUCUUGGUGACUUAGGUCCCGGUUUCGGCCUCGUGGAUGGGUCAUUAACCCCUUGGGUGCUUCCGUGUUGACUAGUCAGUGUUGGCUAAGGUGGGUAAUGGCUUUGUUAGGAUCCGCACCGUCACUAAGGUGAUCGUGAUGCGGUACCCUACUUGUGGGAAAAGUGUACAACCUCUGCAGAGUUAAAACCUAUCCGGGUAGCCGUGUCCACGGCAUUGGACGAGUUAUGGCUUGGUCACAUAACUAGAAUUUGGAGAUGGGUGGUUUUUAUGGCGUGUGUUGGAUUUUGGAAGCGUGCGGCAGUUGUGCCGUGCGUUACGGCGGACGGGGAGUCCGGUAGCGAUAAAACUUGAAUCCUUUGUGUAGGAUCAACCCCACUAAAUGUUUCGGUUACUAAAUAAAAUACUUGUGAAAACUCUUUCAAAAUGAACUCUUGCAUGAGUCGAAAAUAUAGCUUAUUUGCAAAUGGACCUUAACCCUAUCCUUGUUGAAUCCUAUGCAUAUUCUUGUUGUAUCCCCCUCCGUGGAUGGGGUUGGACUUGUUGAGUACUUUUGUACUCACCCCUGUUUUGCUGCUUCAGAGGAGGAUCCGGACUACGUCGCCGAGGACUUCGAGUAUGAGGUUGCGUCUGCACCCAACGCUGCCUGCGGUGUGGGCCCUUUUGUAGGAUGCUUCCACUGACGUAUAGUUCCGAUUGCAGCUCGGAGUCUGACUGGACUGCAACUUGGAUUUGUAUUGUUAUCGCUUUAGUUUUGCUUUGGGUGUGGCUUGCCCGCCCGCUCCUUCGGGAGUUGUACGGUUUCUGAACUAUCUGUUGAAUAAAUGUGUUAUCAGCCUCCUGGGACUCAUAAUUGGAUCACAUUUAGUCUCUACUUAUGUGGGGACGCUUCAGGUGGUAUCAGAGCCGUCGUUGGCCGUAGGACGUAACCAUUAGGACUGGAAAAGCCUUUUUGACCAAAUUAAAUGAUUUACAAAAUUUCUUGCUUCCUCUGCUCAAUUGCAAAACUGAUUUACACCCCGAUUCUUUCCAGAUGGCCGAAGAAGGUUGGGUCAACAGCCAUUGCCUGGAGGAGCCCGAUUUUCCCAGGUUGCUGUUUGCCUGCAUGGACCGCCUCGGGAUUUACGAGCGUCCGGAGUACUCUAGCCGGGAGUAUGAAGACCGUGGGACCCUCCGAUGUGAGAUGACCAUCUACGUGAGCAGGAGCAGCCGCUUCCUCGACAUUCAGCCUUGGAAUGUGUCCGCCACUGGUUUCGGGCGGAAGGACACUUACCAGGUGGCAGCUCGGAAAGCCCUGCACUACCUGUGCCAGAUUUAUGAGAGGCACAUCGGUCGCACACCGAUAAGGUUUUACCCGCCUGUCAAGAAGAACCGCCCAGUUUGGCUGGCCUGGGUGAGGACCUUGGAAGGACGUGGACAGCGCGAGGAUGACCCCACCGUACUCCACAUGGCUGCCUACCUCCUCACCUUGGAUGAACUCUGUGACGAGCAGACCGCCCAUCUGAAGCAGCAGAUCCGCAGAGCCGAGGACGCAGAGGUUAUGGUGAGGAGACUCCAGGUGAGAUUGGCAGCAGCUGAGGCACGAGCCGCGGCCACCCAAAGCAAUGAGGCCCUCGCCAUCGAGGCCCUCAAAGAGGCCGAGGACCGGCACGCGCGGGCAUUGAAGGAAGUCCACCACUCGAACCGCACGAGAAGGAAAAUGCGGGUCGUGGAGGACGACGAGGCCCCAGUAUUGGAUGGAGUCCCUGUUGCCCAGGGGUCCGGGAAGCGGAAGAGCCCCGAUGCCCCACCAGCACCACUGCCUUCAGAAAGGGACUCUGAGGUGGCCAAUGGAGAAGCCUCGGAACCCCCUCCCGCAGGUGGGACCCUAAGGGACGAGGUGCUAGCCCUCCUUAUUCCGCCAGAAGACCACUCCGCGCAGUGUGCAGAUUCGUCCCGCGAGUAGAGUGCCCCACCUAGAGUUGUACUCCAGAAGCUGUCCUGAGUCUAGACUUGUACCCCCCUGUUGUGUUGUUGUACCGGUCAAGUAGUGCGUGUUUUGGCCCUACCCCAAGUGUUGUAACCGCCCUGGCAAAAUAAUAAAAUCAUUUGUGCUUGUUGUUUGUUAGUCUGUGUGCUUGUCGACAGGAGGUGGAUUCUGUCUCUUCGAAAAUCCGAAUUAAUUAACUAAACAUCACUUUAAUAUCCAAAUCCAAGUCUCAUGAAAGUUCACUCAAUCUGCAGAUGCCUCCCAAGCGUGCCACCAAAACCUCCCCGAGUCAAGCACGUGCCACUCCUAGUGCGGAAAGACAGCUGGAAAGGCAGGAACCCCCACGAGUGGUGCACCAUGAGGAGCAAGAGGUGAAUCAGCCCGAGGGCAGGGGGGAAAGCCAAGUGGGAGCACAGCAGCCACCGCCCCAACCGGUCAUUGAUUUGGUACAAGUCAUGAACAACCAGACCCUUCUGCUGGAAGCUUUGGCCAAUGCCAUCACUCGCCAAAGGCCCCGCGGAUAGGGCAUGAAUGAGAAACUGACAGACUUCCUCCGGACCAAGCCACCCACUUUUGGUGGGUCCAUCAACCCUUUGGACAUAGAUGACUGGCUGCGGGUCAUCCAGAGGAAGCUAGAGCCAUUGGCUUUGAGAGCAGGGACAAGGUUCUCCUGGCUGCUCAUCAACUCACUGGGACUGCUUUAGCUUGUGGGAGAACUACUGCACUGCCGCCCAAGAUGCCUCCACUAUCACCUGGGAUGAGUUCGUGACAGAGUUCCGCCGCUAUCACAUUCUUGCGGCUACCAUGAAGCGCAAGGCGGAUGAGUUCCGUGAACUGCACCAAGGCAACAAGUCCGUGGAAGAGUACACCUAUCAGUUCAUGGAGUUGGCCCGCUAUGCUCCAGAAGAAGUAGACAAGGAUGAGAAGAAGCAAGACAUGUUCAAGAAGGGUUUGAGCGCAGAACUGAGGACCCUACUUACUCCUCAGAUCUACCCUGACUUCAAUACUCUGAUGAACAUGGCCAUCCUGACUGAGAGGGCCAAGGCAGAUGAAAGGAUGGACAACAAGCGUCGGUUCCUGGACAGCAAGGCCCACCAGCAGAAUAGGUUCCAGAAACCAAGGAGCUUUGGUCACCCCACGCCCAGGUCCCAAGCUCCCAUGCAGUACCGGACCCAGUCUCAAGCCUCCGAUUCCCAUCAGACCAAUGCCUCAUUCAGAAGCUAGAACCCUAUCAAGGCCCCACAGAACAGCGCCAGUCAAGUCACCAACAACGGCAGGGCAUGCUUCAACUGCCGUGAACCAGGGCAUUUCAUUGCCAACUGCCCCUACGCCAACAAGCCAGCUGCGUCGGCCUUCUCCAACGCAGUGAUUGGGCCAAGGGCAACAGUGUCAGGAGCCAACCGUGUUCCCGUCCGUAGCAACAACAACCCCGGCAACAACAACAACAGCCAACAGAUGAGGCAACCCCAGCAGUCGUUCGGACAAGCCCGCGUCAACCACAUCAACGCACAAGAGGCUCAAGAAGCUCAAGGCGUGGUACUCGGUGAGUUUCUAGUCAGCUCAGCCUUAGCAACAAUACUCUUCGAUUCUGGAGCAUCACAUUCAUUUAUAUCAUCGAGCUUUGUGGAUAAGCACCACAUACCUACAGUACUACUAAAGGUACCCCUAAUAACCCGGACACCUGGAGCCGACAUCCAGUGUCGAUUAGGUUGUUCCCGGGUAAGGAUCAAUUUAAGUGGGGUAGAAUUCCUAGCAGACUUGGUAGUACUUGAGUCUAAGGGGAUAGAUGUGAUCCUUGGAAUGGAUUGGUUAAGCCUACAUGAUGGUCACAUAGGAUGUGCUGAUAAGGUAGUACGCCUGGUUAAUCAGGAUGCUGUACAAGUGACCUGUCACACUCGGGGAAGUGGACCCGACCCAAUGGUUUUUAGCAUGGAAGCCAAGGCCAUAGAAGGAGUCUCGGUAGUGAGUGAAUACCGUGAUGUUUUUCCUGAAGAACUACCUGGAAUGCCCCCAGACAGGGAUAUAGAGUUUGUAAUCGACCUUAUCCCUGUAACCUCCCUUAUAGCCAAGAGACCCUAUAGAAUGGCAGCGUCCGAGUUGGCAAAGCUGAAGAAACAGUUAGGUGAACUGCAACAGAGUGGCUUUAUCAGACCUAGCUCAUCCCCGUGGGGAGCCCCAGUACUCUUUGUCAAGAAGAAAGACGGAAGCAUGAGGACGUGCGUGGAUUAUCGCACACUGAAUGAAGUCACCAUCAAGAAUAAAUACCCCCUUCCCCGAAUAGAUGACCUAUUUGACUAGUUGAAGGGAGCCAAGUAUUUCUCCAAAAUAGAUUUGAGAUCAGGGUACCAUCAGCUCAAAAUCAAGGAAAGUGAUAUCCCGAAGACGGCUUUUGUCACCCGCUAUGGCCAGUUUGAAUUUACAGUGAUGUCCUUUGGACUGACCAAUGCCCCUGCUUAUUUCAUGAACCUCAUGAACAAGGUGUUUAUGGAGGAGUUAGAUAAGUUUGUUGUGGUCUUUAUCGACGACAUACUCAUUUACUCCAAGAGUGUCCAAGAGCAUGAGCAACAUCUCCGGGUAGUAUUGGAGAAAUUGAGAGCCCACCGACUCUAUGCUAAAUUCAGUAAAUGUGAAUUUUGGCUCGAGAAGGUGGCAUUUCUUGGUCACAUCUUAACGGCCGAAGGAGUAGCAGUUGAUCCUGAGAAGGUUGAGGCCGUCUCCAACUGGCAGCAACCCACUAAUGUUAGUGAAAUCAGGAGCUUUCUCGGUCUAGCUGGGUAUUAUCGGAGGUUCAUUGAAGGAUUCUCUAAGAUAGCCCGGCCCAUGACAGAGCUGCUGAGGAAGGACAAGAAAUUUAAUUGGACAGAGUCAUGUGAGAGGAGUUUUCAAGAACUAAAGAGGAGAUUGACGACCGCCCCAGUAUUAACCCUACCGGAUAUCCAGCAGGACUUCGUCAUUUAUUGUGAUGCUUCCCGACAAGGGUUAGGGUGUGUCCUGCUGCAGGAUGGGAAAGUAGUGGCAUAUGCUUCCCGCCAGCUUAAGCCCCAUGAACAAAAUUACCCCACCCAUGAUUUUGAAUUUGCAGCAGUAGUGCAUGCUCUCAAGAUCUGGAGACACUAUCUGAUUGGGAACAAGUGUGAAAUUUACACAGACCACAAGAGCCUAAAAUAUAUCUUCACCCAACCAGACCUGAAUUUAAGGCAAAGAAGGUGGUUAGAGUUGGUCAAGGAUUAUAACCUGGAAAUUUACUACCACCCCGGUAAGGCUAACGUGGUAGCGGAUGCCUUAAGCAGAAAAUCCUAUGGACAAAUCGGACCUAAGGACACCCACUUGCAAGAGGAAAUGGCCCGAUUAAAUGUACACAUUAUUCCCCAGAAUACUAACCGCAAGCUAAGCAUUCAACCCACUUUGGAGGAUAAAAUCCGAGAGGCCCAAGGUUUGCAUCAGGACUUGAUGAGGAUUCGCAAGCAAACCGGAGAGAAUAAAGCCCCAGACUUCAGAGUGGAUGUCAAAGGGACCGUGUGGUAUAAGGAUAGGAUUUGUGUGCCCAAGGAAGGAGAUUUCCGGCAAACCAUCAUGGAUGAGGCCCAUAACUCAGCAUAUUCCAUCCACCCGGGAUCCACCAAGAUGUAUAUGGAUCUAAAGCAGAAGUACUGGUGGAAUGGGAUGAAGGCGAACAUAGCCCAGUUCGUCGCUCAAUGCGAUAUUUGCCAAAGGGUUAAGGCCGAACAUCAGAAGCCAGCCGGCUUACUGCAACCACUACCCAUCCCAGUUUGGAAGUGGGACGAGAUUGGCAUGGAUUUUGUAGUGGGUUUGCCCAAGACUCGAAAAGGGAAUGACUCCAUAUGGGUAAUAGUGGACUGACUCACUAAAGUUGCCCACUACUUGCCCGUACGGACCACCUAUGGUGGCGAAAAGCUAGCUCGACUCUAUGUAGACAACAUAGUGAAGCUGCAUGGUGUGCCUAGCAGAAUUGUUUCGGAUAGAGGGACCCAAUUUACCUCUAGAUUCUGGAAGAGUCUGCAUAAAGCUAUGGGCACCAAACUGGAUUUUAGUUCAGCUUAUCACCCUCAGACCGAUGGCCAAACGGAGAGAGUGAACCAAAUUAUGGAGGACAUGUUGAGGGCAUGUGUCCUUACUUAUGGCAAGGACUGGGAACAGAGUCUACCAUAUGCAGAGUUCUCAUAUAACAAUAGUUACCAAGCCAGCUUAGGCAUGUCACCGUUUGAGUCUCUCUAUGGGAGAAAGUGCAGAACCCCGUUGAUGUGGUCGGAAGUGGGAGAGCGCACCCUAGUGGGACCUGCCUUUAUCAAAGAAGCAUAAGAACGAGUGGCUGAAAUACGAGAGAAGUUGAAGGCAGCACAGUCUAGGCGGAAAAGCUACUCAGAUAAAAGAAGACGAGAGUUGAUUUUCAAUGAAGGGGACUUCGUGUACCUUAAGGUCUCUCCGAUUCGAAGUACCCGAAGGUUCCAAGUGCAAGGAAAAUUAGCCCCUCGGUAUAUUGGGCCAUACCAGGUGUUAAAAAGAGUUGGGGCUGUAGCAUACCGCAUUCAGCUGCCCGAAGAAAUGUCGGAUAUACACCUGGUAUUUCAUGUGUACCAGCUAAGAAAAUGCCUGAGAGUACCAGAAGAGCAAGUACCGGUGGAAACCAUAGAUUUACAAAAGGAUCUACGAUAUCAGGAGGUACCCGUCAAGAUUCUGGACACCGUCACCAGAAGGACAAGGAAUUCAGUAGUGCGGAUUUGCAGAGUCCAAUGGAGUAGGCAUGGUGAAGAAGAAGCUACUUGGGAACGCGAGGAUGCGUUAAAGAAGGAGUUUCCCCAUCUUUUCAGAGUUCAGUCGAAUCUCGAGGACGAGAUUCAAUUUAAGUGGGGUAGGUUUGUAACGCCCGUAAAAAAAUCUACAAAAUUAAAUCACUCGCUAAAAAUGCAUUCCAAAAUUUUCCGACCGUUGAGCUCCCGAAAAAUCCUUUCCUUUCUGUCAGACCCGCCAUCCCGGCACCCGACGUCGUCAACCCUGUUUUUCCGUUCCCCGCAAAUUUCGCCGCGUGCCGGACGGAAGACCGCCGCGCAUGCCCGCGACCAUUUCCGCAAUCGCCGCCAUCUAUUUCUUUUUCCUUCUUUCCCUUCUUUUCCUUCUUUCUUUUUCCUUCUCUUUCUUUUCUUCCUUUUUCCUUCUCGCACCAGCAGCACCUUAUUUUUUUUUCCUACACAUGCAUGCAUGCUUCUCGCACCAGCAGCACCUUAUUUUCUUCCUACGCAUGCAUGCAUGCAUGCAUGCACCUUUUUUUUUCUUUCCCUUGGAACCUGGUGCUGGCCGCAUGCACCGCUUAGCUCCGCAUGCAGGCUUCUCUUUCCUUUUUACUGGCCGAGUGCUUGCUUCUCCUUGGCACACGUGCCUGCACCUGGCCCUGCCUGGUCCCUGCAUGCAGCGUUGCGUGGCUCCCAUGCGCACAACACUUAUCCUCUACCGCGGCCAACACUGCACCUGGCGUCGGGCCCUGUGCGCCUACCCGCUCAGUCACCUCCGGCGCCUGGCCUCGGUCCUACCAGCGCACGCGCCAGCGCUAGCGCACCCCUGGCCCCUCGCACGCGCCCGCUCGCCCAAGCGCCCGCCCAUGCUCCUGCCGCCGCUCCACCAUAGCACGCCGCUUGCCCGCACCAGGCCGCCCGCACUCCGCUCGCCGCCCCGCGCCAGGCCGCCGCUCGCCGCACUCGCCUGCCCGAGCGCCUGCGCCAGCGCGCCCGCUCGCCCAGGGCCCGCCUGCGCACCGCACGCCCGGCCUUUGGCGCCUAGCGCCUGGCCGCAGCGCCGCGUCGCUGGCCGUCGGUCGGCACCGUCCCACCGCACGUCACGCCGGCCAUCACCUCGGUGGACUCCCUGUGCUCCUCGUCGACCGAACCACCACGCCAUCCAUGAGGACGUCCACUCCGGCACGCCACCGGCCGGAAGUCCGGCCCCUGCCACCACCUCGCCUUGCCUCCUAGCUCGCCUCCCCCUUCGCCACCGACCCGGUGCGCCGCCACCAGAGCUCCGCCCACCGCCUUUUUUUUCCCACGCCAGCCCCCUAGCUUCCCAUCGCCGAAUCCCCAAGGUGAGGGUCAAAAUGGAGUCCCCUCGGUCUCCUCUUCCUCCCCCGCCGCUUGGUCUCGCCGCCGGCGAGCUUGACUGGCCGGCUCACCGCCGGGUUGCCUCCUACCUCCCUGUACCCGUGCUCCAGGAAGAAGAAGGGGAGAAUCCCCUUCAAUUUCGAUCUAACCCCCUCCUUUCCUCUAAUUACAAACCAACCCUCCCACCUCUCUCAAAGAAGUUUCGCGAAUACGCCCUUCCACCUUACAAAAAAAAUACAAAUAGGUCCCUCGUUCCCACAGUUUAGUCCUAAAACCUUGUUUUAAAGCCCCUAAUACCCCUCUAACUCGUCAUUUCAUGCGCCAAACUUCCUUCAAUCGAUCCCAAAUUCGACCGCAGCCUCCUCUCAUAUAUUUCCGCCGAGGCAUAUCCAAAUUUCAUGAAAAUACCCUUCCUACCUAUUUUCCGUUCACAUUUCCUAUUCGGAGCUCAACGGGUAAAAUCUUUUUCCUUUUUAUUUAUUGUGUGCUCGUUUGUGUGUGCCGUAGAUCGCGGAGUACCCGAGGAGGAGCACGAGGAGGAGUUCGACCGCGAGCCUGAGCCCGAGGACCAGUACCGCGAGCAGGAGCUCCCGGAAGGCUUUGAGAACGGCAAGUCCAACCUGAUCCUUUGAUGCAUAUUUAAUACCCAGCUUUUCAAACACAACCUAUUGGCCUGUUUUAUAACAUGCAUAUUGUUUUUAUUGCAAGACAUGGUUGGAUAGCCACCCCUUGAUUGUUAUGAUUAUUCCUUGUUGUCCUAUAUUUAUCUCUAAAUAUGAGUUGCUCUGUUUAGAUGAUAAACACGGCUAGAAUGCUUAGGAACUCGUUACUCAAAAUCAAUCAUGACUACACUUGUUUAUUCAGAAAAUAAAUGUGUGAGUGUGUUUAACUAAGGAGUUGGGUUUUCGGGUGUAAGAAGAAGUGGUGUGUGGAUGAGAUGGAUGGGCGUUUCUUGUGUGAAAUGCCGGAUUGUUGAGCUCGUACCUUAGUGGUUGAGCAAAGUUGGGAGAUAUCCAUCUUGUCAUGGCUAAGGACCGAGUUGAUGUGUCAUCUUGCCUAAUUCAACCAUCGUGCAACCACUCGACCAUUGUAUGGGCAACGGCUUAGCUUAAACCCCACUCGCUAAACUACUAGGCUUCAGGUGUACUGGUGAGCGACAGGGGCCCAUGGAAAAGGAUUAAGCUCUUGGUGACUUAGGUCCCGAUUUCGGCCUCGUGGAUGGGUCGUUAACCCCUUGGGUGCUUCCGUGUUGACUAGUCAGUGUUGGCUAAGGUGGGUAAUGGCUUUGUUAGGAUCCGCACCGUCACUAAGGUGAUCGUGAUGCGGUACCCUACUUGUGGGAAAAGUGUACAACCUCUGCAAAGUUAAAACCUAUCCGGGUAGCCGUGUCCACGGUAUCGGACGAGUUAUGGCUUGGUCACAUAACUAGAAUUUGGAGAUGGGUGGGUUUUAUGGCGUGUGUUGGAUUUUGGAAGUGUGCGGCAAUUGUGCCGUGCGCUACGGCGGACGGGGAGUUCGGUAGCGAUAAAACUUGGAUCCUUUGUGUAGGAUCAACCCCACUAAAUAUUUCGGUUACUAAAUAAAAUACUUGUGAAAACUCUUUGAAAAUGAACCCUUGCAUGAGUCGAAAAUAUAGCUUAUUUGCAAAUGGACCUUAACCCUAUCCUUGUUGAAUCCUAUGCAUAUUCUUGUUGUAUCCCCCUCCGUGGAUGGGGUUGGACUUGUUGAGUACUUUUGUACUCACCCCUGUUUUGCUGCUUCAGAGGAGGAUCCGGACUACGUCACCGAGGACUUAGAGUAGGAGGUUGCGUCUGCACCCAACGCUGCCUGCGGUGUGGGUCCUUUUGUAGGAUGCUUCCACUGACGCAUAUUUCCGAUUGCAGCCCGGAGUCCGACUGGACUGCAACUUGGAUUUGUAUUGUUAUCGCUUUAGUUUUGCUUUGGGUGUGGCUUGCUCGCCCGCUCCUUCGAGAGUUGUACGGUUUCUGAACUAUCUGUUGAAUAAAUGUGUUAUUGUGGCGGAACCGCCCAACUUAAGCUGGUUUAAGUGCGCCUAAUCGCUGUCGGAACAAUAAUUAUCCGGAACGCACCUAAAACAGCAUAAGUCCGGUAGUCCGUCGAGUGUCCCUAGGACUCCUCGAAGGAUCCACGACGUGUUUCAUAACCAUACAUCAGGAUAAUAUCCGCGAUGGGAUAAUAUCAACAAACAUUACAUUUUUACAUACAUAUAUAAAAGGUACGAGUUAUUACAGGACGUAAGUUGAAACAAACUUAGUGAUGCAGUGUUAGACAAGCUCUAAGAUUUAAACAUAAAUAGUUCAGGAGAAGAUGCGUAGGUAAACUUUUCUCUAGGGUAUUGUGAGACUCGGGUCAAUACCCUAGGGCUUCGGGGUCUCCUCCUCUGUAGCCUCCUAUGGAGCUUCUAAAAGAUAGCCACAAGGGGAAAACCCUGAGUACGGGGUACUCAGCAAGUCUUACCCGACUAACCAAUAUAAAUAGUUUUCUUUUGAAAUGCAUGCCAGCUUUUGGGUGUGCUUGGUUGACACAAUUUUUGCCGAAAAGCUUACUACGAGUAAGGCCUUAGUUUUAUCUUUUAUUUGAGUUAAGUCAUUACCUAACCAUUCUAAAUGAUAACAGAAGUAAAAGCAACCAUAGCUGUUAAAUCAUACAUUUAUUGAUAACAGGAGAAUACAUAUUGCAUGAAUUGAUACUACGAUGCUCAACAGUGAUCAAGUGCAUUCAUAACCGAGAAUUACGGCGAUCCGGAUCUAAUUACAUCCUGCAGGAGAGUACCCUGAUCACCAGCGUUAUACGACUGUCCAGGUCGUAUCUAACAACCUCUCGAUUAGCAAAUUCAAUGAUUAGGAAUACGACUACCCGGACCUAGGGAUGCACCCCCACAUGAGACCCCACAUCUGGCCUGAUCACCAUGUGAGUUUCAGGCUACACCCCUGCCAAUCUCCAGCACGUCAAGCGCAGGUACGAAGUAUUCCUGAUCACAGAGUUUACUAACCUACUGGGCUUUACUGGUCCCAUACCCAGUAAGUGAUCAGAUGCUUAUCACUUGAUCAAAGGUUAAGACAACGAAUCGGGCCUUAACCAAAUUAAUCUAGCAGACAGAACUAUACCUCUAGCUUCUGUCCGUUUUCAAUUUCCAAGCUAUCUUCUCUAAGCAACAUGUAUGAUUUAAAAGUUUUCCUUAAGGUUGGUAAGCCAAGCAUGUAAGCAAGUAAGCAAUUCUAGACUUGGGUAUCUUCUAAGGUUUGAACAAGUGGCAAAGAUGUCCUCAAAAUAAGGCAUGAUCAUACACAAGAAUAGGUUUCAAGCAAUUCCUAGACUUAGUGCAUACAUAAAGCAAAUAACCUAUAACUAGUCACAUGAAAUAACGACUCCAAAAUAGAUAGGUAUAAAUGCACCGGGGCUUGCCUUGUUCGCUAAAAAGAUUAGUAGAAGCUGACGGAUUUGCUUCACAGGGAACAAAUUCAAACACUUCUUCGGAUUCCGAAGGUCCUUCUGAGAAUUCCCAAUAAUCUCCUUCCGGUGCUUCGGGAUCUACGGCAUAAAUACAUGCAGGGGUUAGAAUGCAAAAUUUUUUAAUACAGACUAUACAACUUUCCUUCAUGAUAAAGUUGCAAGCCAACAAGGACUAUACGACUUAUCAUGAUAAAGUUGCAAGCCAACACACAAAAAUCUAAAAAGAUUAACCUAUAAUUUUAUUUUUCUUAUUUAACCCUUCUUAUAGCUUUUUCUUUUAUUUUUAGAAAAAGUUAUAAUUAUUUUCUAACUUGAAAAUCUAAUUUCCUAUGAGUUAAGAAUAAUUUGUGAUUAAGAAAGUGUUAUUCAUAUUUUAUACAUUUUAUAAAUAUUAAGUAUUUAUUUAAUUACCUUAAAAGGAAGACAUUAAAUAAAUACCCGAAUUUUUAUUAUUUUUCUAGGGUGUAAAAAUUUUAAUGCAUAAAGGAAAAUAAAAUAAGCCUAACAAAAUUGGUUUCACUAAUUUUGGACACUCCUACAAAUUUCUGUGAUUAAAAUGGUGUAAAACGGAUUUAAAUGAAUUAUUUAUCUAAAGGAAUCUAAUUUUUUUCCGAAAAUCACCCGGAAAAACUUUUCUUACUCAACCCCCUUCUACCCUCUCUCACGUGCACUGGGCCCCACGGCGCGGACCCCACCUUUCCUAUUCAUUUUUACCCGCCGGCCCUAUUCCUUUCCCCGACGGGCUCCGUGGGCCGAUUUCUCCUUUCUUCUUCACUUCGCAACCCAGUAGCGGCCCACUGGCCCACUCUUUCUUUUUCUUCUUUUCCCGCGGGCCGGCCUGUUACUGCUCUGGGCCUUUGGCCUCUUCUUCUUUUCCCAGCCGACUCGCACGCUAACUCCCUGGGCCUCCGCGACGCGCCGGCCCUUUUCUUUUACGGUCGCUCGCGCACGCGUCACUGGGCCUCACGACCACGGCCCAGCAACCGACCGCGCUCGGCCUGCCUGCUCCUGCUGCGCCUCCUUUCUCUCCACUGACGUGCGGGCCCCGGCUCCAGCGUCUUCUCCUACCUCCCGCCAAAACUCGCCCGUGACAGGGGGCGGCGCGGCUCGCUGGCCGGCGCCCUCCCGGCGGUGGGACUAGGUCACGACACCAUUUCUACACCUAUACGGCCCCGCGAGCGGCAACAGUUCCCCGGGAGAUGGCCGGAGCCAUCCCCUCCACGGCGACGGGCGGCGACUCCCUCGGCCGGCCGUGGCUACUCAUGACAACGGCACAACCGACUCAAACAACUACCUCUACUACAUCCUAGGACCCUAGAGACUCAACUACGACUACUCAAGACAGAAGAGAAGCAGCGCAAGGUGGUUCUCACCAUGAGCGGGCGGCGCGACGGCGGCGGACAGAAGCGGCGGCGAGCACGGCUACUCCGGCAGGGAUAUUGGACAACAACUAGUCUGGGGUGUAGCUGGGGUGUCUGUGGAGGAGUGGGCGAGAGGAAUCGACGGGAGGCGAGACGUGGCGGUGGAAUUUUGCUCGGCGGCGGUGCUUUGACAGAGGAGUGCUGGCGGCGGUAAAAAGGAAGACGGUGAAACGGCGGCGUGGGAGCAGUAAAUAUACGAACGGUUUACCGCGCGCAUGGCUGCCACCGUGGUCUACCCCUAGGCUUGCGUGGUGAGGAGGUGGCCUAGCUAGACGCGCUGGCGGACGACCGACGACGGCGGCGGCGACACGUCUGGGUGCUCUGUCACCUCCCGUGAUCUUCAGAGCCGAGUCGUGGUCGAUCUUCAAUCCGACGGCCUCCAGCGCCUUAACAGAAGUUGGAGAUAAUCUCAAACCCGUCAUGUUUUGUUUUGGCUCGGGCUCGAGAUAAACAUCAAACAUAGUGCGAAUUUGAAUUCUUUUACCAGCUUCACUGAAUUUCUACUGAACUUCGAGUUUCAGUUCAUCAGUUCAUGAUAGUGUCACUGACCUUGCUUUGUGCUCGAGUUUAGUCAUCCAAUUCCCUUCCUUUAAGUCCAACUUCUUCCCAAACAUGUUCUACUAUGUCCCAAUGUUCCAUUUUGCUCAUGAACAAGUACCCCUUUUUAGCUACAUUUCUCUGAAUUUAAGUCCAAAGUUGAUGUUGUGCUGCUGUUCACACUUAGUCAUUUUUCAGAGUGUCAGAUAAGUGUGACAAGGUGCUGACUUUGGGCUCAAAUUUGAAUUCCUUCCCUUCACUGUUCCUGGCCAACAACACCUGAAUAUUGUAGUCCAAGGUUCAUACUUCAGUAUAGUGUAGUUGUCUUGGUGCACUUAUUUGAAAAAUUCUCCACAAAUCAAUUUUGAAAACAGACUCUGCUGCUGUUUUUCUGGACUGCUGUUUUCGGACGGUGAACAGUAAACAUCCUUUUUCUUUUUCUUUUCUCUGAUUCCUUUGAGAUAUUUAGCACUAAUUCAGUUCCAAAUUUUUGAUCCCUCAGUUCCAAAUACUCUUACACUUGUAUUCCAUGUGUUUGACAAAUUUUUCUGAAUUUCAAAUUUAAAAUUCAAAUUUCGACCAAAUUUGACCAAAUUUGAUUUUUUUUUUUGCCAAUUUCUUUCCUUUUUCUUUUGGAAUUGCUUCUAAUUUCUCAAAGUCAUUGUAAUGCCUCAAAUGGCAGCUGUUACAGUUAUCAGCCUCCUGGGACUGAUAAUUGGAUCACAUUUAGUUUCUACUUAUGUGGGGACGCUUCACUCUCCCCAGGGCGAACCAGGCCGCGCCCGCUCCACGGACACCGCCUCCCGCAGGAGGCAGGGCUCAGUCCGUUCACCGGCGCGUCAGCCUCGUCCGCGACGCCCGCGACACUCUGGACGCGCAGAGGCGCUCCCGCGCGGACAGGAAGGAGGGCGUGGACCACGGCUACCACGUCCACCAUGGUGGCCGCUAUGACAGCGAAGAAGAUCGUAACCCGAGCCCCGACCCAGCAGGACCCAGGGCCUUCUCCGCACGCAUCCUGAACACGCCAUUCCCGGCGCGCUUCAGGCAGCCCAAGAACGUGGCCAAGUACUCCGGGGAGACGAACCCCGGGCUGUGGCUCAGCGACUACCGGCUUGCGUGUCAGGACGGUGGAGCGGACGAUGACCUGUUCAUCAUCCGCAACCUCCCACUCUUUCUGGCCGAAUCGGCGUGAGUCUGGCUGGAGCACAUCCCUUCGAGUCGGAUCCGCAGCUGGAACGACCUGAAGGAGAUCUUCGUGGGGAACUUCCAGGGCACGUACAUGCGCCCUGGCAAUUCCUGGGACCUCCGGAGCUGCCGCCAGGGGUCAGACGAGUCCCUCCGGGACUACAUCCGGCGCUUCUCCAGGAAGCGCACCGAGCUCUCCAACGUCGCGGACGCCAACGUCAUAGGACCUUUCCUGGCAGGAACUUCCUGCCGACCCCUUAUCCAUGAGCUGGGACGCCAAGGCCCGCGAACCACGGAGGAGCUCCUCAACAUCGCCACCAGCUUCACCUCAGGCGAAGAAGCCGUCGGAGCGAUCUUCGGCCGCUCCAAGGGCAAGGCGAAGUGGGAGGAGGACGCCGACGAGGGCACCUCCCACCAUCAACAGAAGAAGAAGAACAAGCAGCGGUGCGAGGUUCCCCUCGUGGGUGUUGCUGAACGCAAGCGGGGACAGCCGCCCCCAGAGGGCACCCCCGGUUUUUUCGACAAGCUGCUCGAGGCACCGUGCCCGAACCACGAGUUCCCAGUGAAGCACGCCUACAAGGACUGCAACCUCAUGAAGAGGUAUUUUUGUAGGCAACCCAGUAAAGGGCGACCGGAGAUGGAAGCUCGAUGAAGAGAAGAAGGACGACGAGGAGAAGGAAGAUGGCUUUCCCAAGGUGGACGGCUGCUUCAUGAUCUUCGGCGAACCGGUGGCUUACGACUCCAAGCGCCACCGGAAGCUGGAGCGCCGCGAGGUCUACGCGGCCGAGCCUGCUACACCGGCCUUCCUCGACUGGUCAGGAUCCGCCAUCACCUUCGACCGAUCCGACCACCCGGGGCGCGUCCUGCAGCCAGGACACUACCCGCUCAUCAUCGACCCUAUCGUCGGCACCAUGAGCCUCACCAAGGUGCUCAUGGACAGGGGUAGCAGCCAUAACAACCUCUACGCCGAGACUCUUGAUGCCAUGGGGAUUGACCGCUCCCGCCUCCGCCCCAGCAAGGCGCCAUUCCACAGCAUCGUGCCGAGGAAACAGGCGAUGCCUCUCGGGCAGAUCGACCUGCCCGUCACCUUCGGGAAUCCUUCCAACUACAGGAAGGAGGUCCUCACCUUCGAGGUGGUGGGUUUCCAUGAAACCUACCACGCCAUCUUGGGGUGGCCGUGCUACGCUAAGUUUAUGGCCAUCCCCAACUACACCUACCUCAAGCUCAAGCUGCCGAGGCCCAUCGGGGUCAUCACCGUCGGUACGUCUUUCCAGAAGGCAUACAAGUGCGACGUAGAAUGCUGCGAGUACGCCGCAGCCAUCACCUUCACGGAGGAUCCUGCGGUCCAACUCGCAGAAACGCUGAGGACCAGCCCGACUCCAAGCAGUCUGCCACCUCCUUCGAGGCACCGAAGGCGUCAAGGAGGUCCCGCUCAACCCCAGCAGCUCCGACGGGCGGACCGUACGGAUCGGCGCUACCCUAUCUAACAAAUAGGAAAGCGCGCUCGUCGACUUCCCCCACGCGAACAGCAACGUUUUCGCGUGGAAACCCUCGGACAUGCCCGGCAUCCCGAGGGAAGUCGCCGAGGCUCCAAAUCGGUGAAGCAAGGCCUGCGUCGCUUCGACGAGGAGAGGCGCAAGGCCAUCGGCGAGGAGCUCCAGAAGCUUUUGGCGGCCGGAUUCAUCAAAAAAGUGUACCACCCAGAGUGCCUAGCUAAUUCUGUUCUUGUACGCAAAAAGAAUGGGAAAUGGAGGAUGUGUGUUGAUUAUACCGGUCUCAACAAGGCGUGUCCAAAGGAUCUGUUUCCUUUUCCACGUAUAGAUCAGAUAAUCGACUCAACCGCCAGGUGCGAAACCCUUAGCUUCCUUGACGCAUAUUCCGGCUACCAUCAGAUCGUGAUGAAAGAGUCCGACCAGCUCGCGACCUCUUUCAUCAUCCCUUUCGUCCCCUAUUGCUACGUUGAGAUGCUAUUCGGCCUCAAGAACGCGGAGGCUACGUUCCAGUGAUGCAGGCUUAAGUGUUUCGGGGACCUCAUCGGGCGGACCGUUAAGGCUUAUGUAGAUGACAUCGUAGUCAAGUCCAAGAGGGGCGACCAGCUCGUCCCCGACCUCGAACUAGCCUUUCAAAGGCUAAGAGACAAGCGCAUCAAGCUCAACCCUGAAAAGUGCGUUUUCGGGGUUUCGAGGGGCAUGCUGCUGGAAUUCAUCGUCUCCAUGCACAGCAUCAAAGCCAAUCCGGAGAAAAUAGCAGCCAUCAGCGACGUGGGGCCGAUUCGAAACAUAGAGGGAAUUUAGCGCGUCAUGGGAUGCCUGGCGGCCCUGAGCCGCUUCAUCUCGCGUCUCAGCGAACAGGGGCUCCCUCUCUACCGACUCCUGAAAAAGACCGACCGCUUCGAGUGGACCACCGAGGCCCAAGAGGCGCUUGACCGGCUCAAGAACCUCCUGACGAAAGCCCCGAUCUUGGUCCCGCGAACCGACGGGGAGCCCCUCCUGCUCUACAUCGCGGCGACCACUCAGGUGGUCAGCGCGGCUCUGGUGGUGGAAUGAGAGGAAGAGGGACACGCCCUCAAGGUGCAGCGCCCGGUGUACUUCGUCAGCGAGGUCUUGUCUGAGUCCAAGGCUCGCUACCCGCAGAUCCAGAAGCUCAACUACGCCGUCCUCAUCACAAAGAGGAAGUGGUGCCACUACUUCACCUCCCAUCCGGAACUAGGACGCCACGGGACGGAUCGCGAAGUGGGCACUCGAGCUCAUGGACCAGGGCAUCACCUACGCCCCCGCAGAGCCAUCAAGUCCCAAGUACUUGCCGACUUUGUCGCAGAGUGGACGGAGAUCCAGACGCCAUCCGCGCCGGAGAAGCAGGAGUACUGGACAAUGUACUUUGACUGGUCGUUGAUGAAGGCCCGCGCCGGAGCGGGUCUGGUCUUCAUCUCUCCUCUUGGCGUGCGCAUGAGGUACAUGAUCCGUCUCCAUUUUCCUGCAUCUAACAAUGUCAUUGAGUACGAGGCCCUCCUCAACGGGCUUCGCAUCGCCAUCGAGCUGGGCAUCCGACGGCUGAACAUCCGAGGCGACUCUCAGCUAGUCGUCGAACAAGUCAUGAAUGAGUGGAGCUGCCACGACCCCAAGAUGGCGGCAUACUGCGACGAGGUCCACAAACUCGAGGACAAGUUCGAUGGACUGGAACUCAACCACGUCGCAAGGCGUUUCAACAAGGCAGCUGACGAACUGGCGAAGGCGGCAUCCGGCCGAAAGCCCAUCCCCGACGGCGUCUUCGUCAGCGACCAGUACGAGCCCUCCAUCCGCUACAAAGAGCCGGGAAGGAUCGGCGACGCGCCACCUACCCCAAAGUCGGGCGCCGACCCGGGAGAGGUCGGAAACGCGCCACCUGUCCCGGACUCAGGCGCCGACCCCGGAAGGGUCGGCGACUCUCCAACUGCCUCGGACACAGAGGCCGACCCCUCCGACCCCGAAGUCAUGGAGAUUGAGGUGAACCUAGCAGAGGGGCCCAACUAGAGAGCCCCAUACCUCGACUACCUCAUUCGCGAGACGCUCUCGGCGAACAAGACGAAGCCACGCAGGAUUGCACGUCGCGCCAAAUCCUUCGUCAUCAUCGACCAGGAGCUCUACAAACGGAGCCACACCGGCAUCCUCCAGCGCUGCAUCCCGAUCGAGCAGGGAAAGGCAUUGAUACAGGAUAUCCACGCUGGGGCUGCGGCCACCACGCCGCGCCAAGAACCCUCGUCGAGAACGCCUUCCGACAGGGCUUCUACUGGCCGAUGGCAGUAGCCGACGCCACCCACGUGGUGCGCACCUGUGAGGGGUGCCAAUUCUUUGCGCGCCAAACCCAUCUGCCCGUGCAGGCACUCUAGACCAUCCCCAUCACAUGGUCGUUCGCGGUCUGGGGACUAGACCUCGUCGGACCUUUCAAGAAGGCGCCCGGGGGCUUCACCCACUUGCUUGUCGUCGUCGACAAGUUCUCAAAGUGGAUCGAGGCGCGACCCGUCACGCAAAUCAAAUCCGAGCAGGCAGUACAGUUCUUCACCGACAUCAUCCAUCGCUUCGGAGUCCCCAACUCCAUCAUCACGAACAACGGCACGCAGUUCACCGGGAAGAAGUUCCUCCAGUUCUGCGAUGACCACCACAUCCGAGUGGACUGGUCGGCCGUGGCACAUCCCCGCACGAAUGGGCAGGUUGAAUGGGCCAAUGGCAUGAUACUCCAGGGUCUCAAGCCACGGAUCUUCGACCGCCUCAAAAAGUUCGGCGGCCGGUGGAUCGCGGAGCUCCCCCGGUCCUAUGGACUCUGAGGACGACCCCCAGUAGGGCGACCAGCUUCACCCCGUUCUUCAUGGUCUACGGGUCCGAGGCAAUCCUCCCCACAGACUUGGAGUAUAGGUCGCCGAGAGUCAAGGCGUAUGAUGAACAAGGGAACCAAGCAUCGCUCGAAGACGCGCAAGACCAGCUUGACGAAGCGCGCGAUGUGGCCCUACUACACUCGGCCAAGUACCAACAAGCCUUACGACAAUACCACAGCCGUAAGGUACGAGGCCAAGCCUUCAACGUCAGCGACCUGGUGCUUCACCUCGUCCAGGACAACAGAGACCGGCACAAGCUGACCACUCCAUGGGAAGGCCCCUUCAUCAUCACGCAAGUACUGCGGCCAGGCACGUACAAGCUGGCAACCCCUGACGGACAGAUCUUCAACAAUGCUUGGAACAUAGAGCAGCUAAGAUGCUUCUACCCUUAGUUUUUGUUUCCAAGUUCUGUACAUAAAUACUUCUGUAACUUGUUUAUUCAACGGAAAAGGGAAUAUUGAGUCGAUCUCGUUCAAGUUUCGUAUCGACCCUGGCUCUGCCCCAGGGCCGCAUAUCCCUCAGGGGCUAUCAGGGGCUCCGGCCCAAGUCACUUGACAUCUUGUCAAAACGCCAUUUCUUUCCGAACCGACCCUCUUCCUAAACAUUUGGGCGUGAAAAGGAGAGAGUGCACGAAUGGCAUUCAGGCAAGACUGACCGGACUACGAAAAAACCUACGCCCCAGUGGCUACGGUGCCUUCGCCCAUCAGCGCUUACUGACGCGCCCGACCCGCGCUCUAAACUUUCAAAACCCAAAAAACAAGAAAGAGGAUCGAAAACUUUUUUCAACAAGCUAUAGAAAAGGCCUCUGGUGUCAUAACAAAAGCAAGUUCAAAGUUGACUAACAUAUUUACAUAUUUUGGGACAUCUAAGCCCGAUACAGCUAACUCGUCCCCAGGUCCUCCAGCAGGAUGGCCUCAUCCUCCAGAAGCUUCGCCAAGGCCUCCGCUGGGUUGAGCUACGACGCGUCGAUCUCGAACAGCUCAGCCUCAGUGUAGCCGGAGGCGUACCCCGCUCAUCCCGGCGAAGUUGAUUCCGGAGUAGUCGAAGCUGAAGACGCCGAAGGCCCGCCUCACGCCGACGUGAAGCGCCUCCCGAGAGAUCUCAUGGGCCCGCCGGUACGCCCCAAGGACACGAGCCGCCAACGAACUCGUCCCCUCCCCCUGGACCACACCGAGGCUGUCGCAGACAACGCGGACCGCGUCCCGCAGGUUAUCGUGCUCGGCGCGCUCCGCGUCGAGAACCUCCCUCAGCUGGGCGAGUUCAUCUGUGAGGUCCGUCCACAGAAGUCCAAGUCAGAAACCAUCACAAAGUAGCAAAAAACAAAAGAACGAGAAGAGCCUUACCCUCGGACCGAGCCUUCAGCUCACGCUCCCGGUCGAGCCCCUGGGCCACGGUGUUCUAAAGCCCCUACACUUGCAUGUGGUGCUGACUGACCUUCGCCCUGACCUCGGCCGCUACCUUCUCAGCCUCGACCUUCCAAGUUGCCUCGAAGUCCCGAUCUUGCAAAGCCUUCUGCCGCUCACGUCGGAUACGCUCGACGGUUUUCUGAAGGGCCUCAUAGUCCCCCUUCAGCCGUGCGAGCUCCUCGGCAUCAAGGUGGGCUUUCUCAGCAGCAGCCUGGAACUCCUCAAGAUCAAGGCGAGCCUUCUCGAUGACGGCCUGGAACUUGUCCUCCGCCCGCCGCACGUCCUCCCGCGCCGCCUGCUCACGCCUGCGCAGGUCGUCGAUGACUUGCUGAGCAGCGGCGACCUGCGCAGUCAGCUUCCCAGUCCGCUUCCUCUCCGUAGAGAACCAUUCCCAGAGCCCCUGCUCAAGCCGGAGGAAGUCGGACUUCCCCCGGCUGCAUUCCUGGAGGGCCUACAAAACAUUUUAUGCUCAGCAACGGAGAGAUAAGAGGAAAACAACCACCGAGGAGAACACCAUACCUGGCCACCAGGGACAACGACGUCGUCCAGCUUCCCCAUCGUGGAAGACAGGGCAGCGCGGACAUUCGCAAGCCCGCCCUGCACCACCUACCACUUACCCCACUCCUCGGCAUCGUCCAGCACGAAGAGGGGUCUCUGCGGGUCAUUGCGUAACCUCCAGCGCAGGGUAGGCCCACCCCACGCCCUGGGAACGGGAUUGACCAGGAUAAGGGUGGGAGCCGCUCUGGCUGCCCCCGACGCCGCCGCCGGGGCAGGGGCCAUCGCCUCUGACGUUGCCAGCCUCGACGACGGCCCCCGCACGUCCGCCACCGUCCCCGUCGUGGCUGCCGGAGCGGGCUUUCCCGUCCCUGCCGCCAUCGCGGCCUCUGUCACAGCCGCCAGGGAAGGCAUCCCUACCUCCGUCAUGAUCUCCGGCGCAGGCGUUCCCACCCCCGCCACCGUCGGCGUCUCCGUCGCGGCCGCUGGGGCAGGCGUCCCCACCGCCGCCGCCGCCGUCUCCGUCACAGUCGCUGGGGUAGAUGUCCCUGUCUUCGCCACCACCGCUACCCCCGUCGCAGCCACGGAGGUGGACGCCGUCUCCGUCGCGGUCACUGGGGCAACCGUCCCCAUCUCCGCCGCCGCCGCCGGAGCCGCAGGCUCUUCCUCCGCCUCGUCGUCGAGGUCUAUCACCUCGCCGGGUGGAGGGACCCCAGGGGCAACACCUUGUCCCGCAAGGUCGGCCGCGGAGGCAGAAGAUGGACCCUGCCCCGUGCCCGGCUGUGGCAUCCUUCCUCCAGUUGUCGUCGAGGUGGCCAUCUCCGUGGUGGGCUCCAUGGCCUCCCCGACGACACCGCUGCUAGCUGCCGGUGGGGUCGCGGCUUGCCCCGCGGACAUGGACGACACCCUCAGCGCCUUCUUUGGCGCCAGCGGCGGGACGAAGUCCCGAGGGGCGGUGCUGUGAAGCAACAGCAACAUCAUCAAAAACGGCUUGGGAAGGAAAGAGAUGCGCAAGGAAUUUCCACUUACACUCCCUCAGCGCGAGGACGGUGGGCGCGUUUUGCCUCCGAACCCGACGCCGACCCCGGAGCAUCUAGCAGCGGCCGCUUGCCGCUGCUCCUCUGCUCUUGGGGCGCAAGCAGAGGAUCAGGGGUCGGCUCCGUCAACUCCCGAGGUGCGCCCCGCGCCGACCCCUAGGGCGCGGCCCAAGAGCUUUGCGGGGUCGAGUCCUGGGCAGGCGGUCCGCUCGGCUUGUCCCCCGCGGCCCUUUGGGGGCGCUACUCCCGGAUGAUGAGCGCGCCCGGCCGGGGGGGCCAAAACGAACUCCUCCUCCUCUUCUUCCUCCUCGUCUUCCUCCUCCUCAUCGUCGUCAUCGUCGUCCGACACGACCAGGUCCCACCGUCGCCGUCGUAACUCCUUGGCAUCCUUCCUUUUCUUCCUCGCCAUUUCCUUCUCCUUACGCCUCUUCUUCCUCUCGGCCAAGGAAGCGGUUCUGCUGCCGCCGCUCAGCGUCCUCUGGCACCGGCAGGCGCGAGUCCAUGACGUUGGCCAUGUGGCCCUGCAGACACGAAAAUUUCGUGUCAGAGCAACGAACCAAGAAAUGCAGGAGAAAAGAACGAGAGCACGAAGUCCUCACCAGCUUGACGAAAUUCGUGUCCAGGCGCAUUGGAGGGUGACCGGGCACCGGGUAAUCGGCGUCCUUAUCAUCCAGCGCCUCCCAGACUCGCUGCCGGAUCUCGGUGGCGGCAAGCACACCCGUCGCAAGGACGGUGCCCUCGGUCGGCGUGCCGGGAGCCAUCUCAGCGAGCAAGCGGACCCAGAGCAUCAGCGGCACCACCCUCCGCGCAUGGUACGCCCCGAUAACUCCGGCCCCGGUCAGCCCCUUUUCCUUCAGGUGCUCGAUGGCCUAAAGCAAACCAGCGAUCCGCUUCUUCUCCUUCUCCACCGGACCGUACGACCACAGCUCCGGCGCCGCUUCGAUGACGUGGCUGGUGGACACCGGCAAGGGGGGGUUGGAGUAGUUCUUCACAUAUAACCACUGCUGAUGCCACCCCUUGUGGGACGCCGCGGUCUUCAUUGCCAUAUAUUCCUUGGCGCGGUUCUGGCGGAGAUGGAUGGUGGCGCACCCGAUCGACACCGGGGUCGUCCGCUGCUGGCUCCCCUUCCUCUCGGUCCUCUAGUACAUGCUAACCAUGAAGAAGUACUUCCAGAGUGACAAGUUGCACUCGAUGCCCAAGAACCCCUCGCACAGCGCGACGAACGCCGUGAUGUGCUAGAUCCCAUUAGGAUUGAGGUGCUGCAGCUCGAGCUCGUAGUAAUGCACCAGCCCGCGGAAGAAGUGGCUUGGCGGGGACGUGAACCCCCUCUCGUGGAAGUGCGCGAAGGAGAUGACGUAGCCACCGCCAUUCGUCCCUCUCGGUCCUUUCGCAGAGGAUGCCCUUCCUCAUGAGGCCGUCGGCGCGUGAGGACCCUAAGUUCGAGUGCGACCAGGACUCCAUCGCUAGGGGGUGAAAAGCUCGACGGCGGAGGGCGAGGGAAACUGAUGCGCUAGGUGGAGAAAGGCAAACGGCGCGCAAGAAGGUGAAGGGCGUGCGAGAAGGCGAAAGGACUUUGGGGCAGUUGCGGGCGGAACUGGCGAGGCGGACUCCCCGUCUUAUAGGGAGGUGCGUGGGAAGCAGAACAGGCGACCCCAUCGCAGUAAAUGCAGCGCUAGGUACGCCCCGUCACGCCCGUCUUUUUUGGAAGUUGUGCGCACGACCCGCUGCAGGAAACAUCCCCUCCUUCCUCGUUUCACGGGCCAGCAUCUUCCGCAACUUCGCCCCCCAGAGAACGUACACGCACAACCUCCUCCACAUCCGGCCCAAGGCCCACCGAAAGGUAAAAAAGGGAUACGGGGCUGAAAACGCCCCUACGGCCGGUUACGGUCCAGGGGUUCGAAGGCUGGCCCACUACGGGUUCGACAGCCGCCCUAGGAUACCCCCGAGCGAGGGGUGAGAAGGGAUGGGUCCGCUAGCGACCAUCACCCGGGCAAGCGACAGCCUAGGGCGUCCCAACCUCACAUUCGAGUUCGGACCGGCACGAAAGUUCAUGUUUUUUCCCCGAAGAAAGGCAACGAGCCCCCGGAUCCGAUCGAACGGACUCGGGAACUAUAUGAACUGGCCGACCAGAAUCUGGGGUACGCCACCAGCUUGGCCCGAGCCAGACCCCUCCGAACAGGGACCGGGACCCCACUCGAAUCGACCCGUCUGCAGCUCAACGAGCACCACGAUUCGUCCGGCGAGGAUAGCGUGGCACGGCUCACCCCCUCCGUCUCAGCGAACGGACGCUUGAGGGGUAAGGUUCGAAAGUCGAUCUAGCCUCCCGACCGGUCUCUUGCAAUGCGCGGGGGCUCGGGGGCUAGCAUCGCAACCAAUGACCACACGAACGGUCACGACUUGAGGUCUCCAGACGGAAGGUGCCCUAUGGAACAACAAGAAAUCCUCACACGCCAAGUCGCCCGCAGGAUACCUCGCCUGAUCAAUCUCCCCGACCAAACCGAGCAAACAACACUCCCUAUCCCUGAUUAACUGCAGCUUGCAGGACGAGCAGAGAUCCCCAACGAACGACGAAAUCAGCCUCUGGAGGAGCAUUCACGCUCCACCACAGGCUCGGGGGCUACUGUUGGGGGGAAAUAUGAAUGACCUCCCAAUGACACCUAAGACAACAAUCAUGAAGGCCCAGGCCCAGCUGCGAUACUGGAAAUUGCCGCCAGCCCAGCAUGGGCAGGGAACAUCCCGCUCCAUCUCGCCCGACCCAGGGCUCCGGGGUCGGACACUCCCGACCCCUCAAUUGCAAAACUCCGCCUCGCCCGACCCACGGUCCCAAGGUCGGAUGCGCCCGACCCCUCGCCGCAAGGUUCCGCCUCGCCCGACCCACGGUCCCAGGGUCGGAUGCGCCUGACCCCUCGCCGCAAGGUUCCACCUCGCCCGACCCCGGGCGUAGGGGGUCGGACUCAUCCUAGCCUACAAGACAAGAAUCCGCCUCGGGUGCAGACUUGCAGACAAGGGCGCGGAUCUCGUGGGCCCCUCACAGAUCUUGCCAUAAAUGCACCGCGACUCUGAUGCGCAGAAAGGCGCCCGCGCCCCUCGACGUGGCCGCCACAAGUACCUGGGCGGAACACUGUAGCCACAGGCUACAGUCGCCGUGGCUCCCCCUGAUUCGUCAAGAGGCACUCAUGGCCUACACCGCCCGGCACAGGAGGGAGUUCCGCCCGUUCUCGCACCCCGCGUAUCUAGCAACAGGGACCGUGGGUCAGCCGUCUUCCCCGACGUGCACAGUCACCACGACUGGACACCAUCAUCAUGCUUGGCGGCAAUGGUCGCCAGGGAGAUCAUCGACAGGAUCCGAAGGCAGCCGCCCUCCUCCAGUGGAUGCGCUGACAGGAGCCGAAGGCCAGAGCAGGAGGCGGUGACCCAGGGACUUGGUCCUCCUCCUUGUAUUUUUACUUGACUUAGCUUAUCUCUUUUACUUCUCCUCACACCUGACUCAUCUGUAACCUUGACUCUCCUUGCACUAUAAAAGGAGAACCGGGGGCUCUGAGACAGGGGACUCUCAAGCCAACAGAACUCACAUACACUCUCCACGAGAGCAUCAGUGCACACCUAAGAGACUUGGGACCGGCUCCCUCUCUCGCCUACCUGUAACCCCCUACUACAGACCCCGCGUGGGCAACACGAGCAGCUCCUGAUACUGGACGUAGGGCUUUCCUUGCCCGAACCAGUCUAAUCCCGUGUCUUCCCACGCCACCAUCCGAAGCCUUACGUGUAUAAAAGAAAUUUACUAGCUGUAGUCUUGAUCCGCUAAUCUUGACAACAACACUUCUGUUUCGAAAAUGACUAGUGCAUCACGAUCACACUACCCUAGCCUGCAAAGUAAGGUUCCGAUUAAUGUUAGGUGCAUGUCAAAAAAAAAAGUUGGCUAUUAUUGGGAAAACGUUGGAGUAUGUAAAAAAAAUGUUGGGCAAACAAUUUAAGAAUACAUUGGUAUAUGCUAAAAAAUGUUGAAUUAUAGAAAGGAAAUGUUGGUCCAUCAAGCAAAAUAUUGGUGAAUGUCAGAUAAAUUAUUGGUCAAUAUCAAUAAAUGGUGUUGUGUGUUCAGAACAAGUUAAAGAAAAAUGUUAGUGUAUGUUAAUAAAAUGUUGGAUAAUAUUUAAAAAAUAAGUUCAAGAAAAAACUGUGUAUGAAAAAAUUGUUGAUGAUGGUCAAGAAAAUGUGGGAGAUUGUGGAAAAUCUUGGUCGAUCAUCAAUAAAUGUUGAUUUAGGAAAGAGAUGUUGAGAAAUAUAAAGAAAAUAUUGGAGAUGUGUUCAAAAAUAAAUUGAACAUAUUCUAAAAUGUUUGUAAGAGUUUAAAAACAGCUUUAAGAAUAUAUUGGUACAUGCUCAAAAAAUGUUGGCUGCCAUCAAUAAAUGUUGAAUUGUUUAAAGAAAUGUUGGUGUAUCAAGAAAAAUAUUGGUGUAUGUCAAAUAAAUUGUUGGAGAGUGUGAAAAAAUAUUCUGCAAACAUUUAAAAUGUUGAUUUAUGUAAAAAGAAUGUUGGUCAAUAUCUAGAAGUGUUGGUGUGUGUCCAGAAAUAAGUUAAAGAAAAUGUUUGUGUAUGAAAAGAAAUGUUGGUCAUUCUCAAGAAAAAUAUUGGUUAGAGUAUAAAAAUUAUUUGAAUAAUAUAGAAAAAAUGUUGGUGCAUGUUAAACAAAUGUUGAUCGAUAUCAAGAAAUGUUGGUGUAUUUAAAAUGAUGUUGGGCAACUUAAAUAAAUAUUGUGCAACACAUGAUAUGAAGAAAAAUUUUGAGUGUGUUAAAAACUGUUGAAAUUAGGCAUCAUAGCAAAACUAAACAAAGCUUUAUGCAAUGAUUAAAUUAACAAUUGGCAAUGAGGCUCAUUCUAAACAAGAAUAGGUGACUGAGAUAUUGAGUUAAACAAUAGCUCGUACUUCCAGAUACCUAGACAUGGAACAAUUUCUGAUCGGUCUUGUAAAUAAACAAACUAAUAGCUUUUGUGCAUAACAUUGAUGAAAAGAGUAAUUGGAAAUAGGAAAAAUUAAUAUUCCAGGGAAUAAUUAAUAUGAGCAACAAAAGGCAAAUAUUCAAUACCAUUUCGGAAUUGUUGAAACUGGAAAUAUAAAAUGUCAGAGAAUAUAAUGGAAAUGUAGAAGUUGAGUAUCAAAUGUUGGUUUCUGAACUAUUUAAACUGAAUUUUAAAAUGUUGCAUUGAAAUACUAAAUGUUGAACCAUAUCAUUGGAAAUGUUGAAACUGGAAGUAUAAAAUGUUGGGACCAAAGAGUGGAAUUGUUGAAAUAAAUUAAACUUAUAAUUGGAAAUGAUUAAACUGAUGUAUAGAAUGUUACAUUGAACCACUACAAAAUGUUGAACCAAAACAUCGACUUCUGUGCAUAGCAAAGAUGAACAAAGUACCUACAGGCAGGAACUGACCAGCGCACUAAUAUUUCAGGGAAGAAUUAAUGUGAGUAGCAAAGGCAAAUAUUUGAGGUAAAUAAGUGCACAUUAAAGAAAAGGGUAUCUCUUAUAUGAUCAGCAUUCUCAAGCUUAACUCCAAGAACAUUUUGUGCAAAUGUGGCUUUGAGAUCAUUAUGGAAAAGGAAAUUGUUGCUUAAUAGCUCCUGAAAAUAAUAUCUGAACACAAUUACUAGAUUGUGUCUUAAGUAAUAUGAAAAUAGCAGUAAAAAAUAGAAAAAAGGAAAACAAAAUGUUGAUGAGUGUCAAAGAAUUGUUAGUCAAUAUUAAAAUAUGUUGGUGAGUAAAGCAGUACAAGUUAAAGAAAAAAAGUUAUGUAUGUGAAAAAGAUAUUGGUCAAUGUCAAGAAAAUGUUGGUGAAUUUUCAAAUUACAUUAAAGAACAAAAAUUGGUGCGUGUUAAAAAUUGUUGACUCAUUCUCAAGAAAAUGUUGGUUACUGUAUAGAAAUGUUGUAGAAACAUCAAUAAAUGUUGAUUUAUGUAGAAAAUAUUGUUGGCAAAUAUCAAGAAAUGUUGAUAUGAGUGUAGAAUAAGUUAAAGGGAACAAAAGGUUGUAUACGUGAAAAAAUGUUAGUGGAAUAUCAAGAAAAAUGUUGAUGAGUGUACCAGAAAUAAGUUAAAAAAGGUUUGGGUAUGUAAAAAAUGUUGACAAUUAUCAAGAAAUGUUGAUGAUGAGUCCAAAACAAGUUGAGUGGAAAUGCUGGUUUACGUAAAAAUAUGUUGAUCUUUGUUUAAAAAAUUGUUGAUUAUAGUAUAAAAAUAUGAGAAUGUUGUUGUACAUUAAGAAAUGAUGGUCAAUAUGAAAAAAGCAACAUGGAAGAUUCCAAGACUAUCUUACUUCUUGUAUUGUUCAUCUCAUGACUCUAAGGUUGCUUGGCCAGACUGCACUUCUUCAAAAGUGGGAAGCUACUAUGCUAGAAGAUCAAGCCGAAACUGCAGUGAUUUGAGCAACUGCAGAGCAUUAUGUGCAGAACCAUUCAACCUUGGAAGAAAAUUCGCUUCCUCUGUCCCUUUCCAUGUUUUUCCACAUGAUUUGAUUGUAGCAAUGCUUUCCUUAAGCUGUGAAACUGCUUGGCUCCAUUGUUUCUUUAGAUUUAUGUGAACCACCAAGUCGCAGUGCACUCAAAUAAACACUAGCGCUAAACUGCAGAACUGAAGCCAUAUUUUUUUCACUGAGGCUAAGCCUUAUUAUGUAAUGGGUUACAUAAGUUUAGCUUCAACGAACCAAAUAUUUUUAUGCACCAUAUAGAGAAACCAAAUUUACUUAUUGACAUAACAUAUAGGCCCAAAUCAUGUACAAUGUGGAAAUUAGAAUACAUAUAAAAGAACUUGGCACAACAAACAUAUGCCCAUAUGAGAGAGAAAUUCAAACAAACCUAAUAGCAGUAAUAAUUCCACCAGGCAUUAUCUUUCUUGUUUUGAAAUAUCUUAUUCCCAUGACAACAGUCAAUACCACAGCACAAACAAGAACAAGGUUAGAAGAUACUAUCUGAUGCAUACUAAGUCUCAGACAGCAGAGAAGCUUGAUACAUUCUAAAUAGAAAAUCACAAAAGACCAGCCGCUACGAUCAAUGUUACUGAUCAAAACAUGGAAACAGACAUAACAUAUCAUACAAAUCCAUGUAAAACACGUGCAAUAAGGUAGAGCAUACACUAGCGAAGCAGCAAUAUGGAACUAGCAUAACACAUUACCAGAGUGGUAAUCAACUCCGCAAGAGUUUUUAAUUCACUGGAAAUAGGGAUGAUAAUAGCAUGCUUGCAUUCAGAUAUUAGCAUUUUGAACUCUAAAGCUACCUGUCUCUACACAGUCAAUUAGUUUAGGAGCUGGAAAACUGGUAUAUUCGGGGGAGAAAUGCAUUGUGAACAUCCCAUCAUAUGCAUUCAACGUCAAAUAUAAUGUCACUGCAACAGCCAACAGCCGAUUUCCUCACACAGAGUACAAAUCCUUCUGCAUUCAGCUUCAAACCUAAUGUCACUGUCACAGUGGAUUUCCUUACACAGUACAAAUUACUACAAUCUAUGCGUAAGUCAGGAUUUUCGAAACUGUUUGCUUUGUUUGCUCCACCAAUCAACCAAACAAUAAUGAUUCAUGAGUAGUAUUGAGUACGCCAUGGCGGAGAGGUCAAGCAAGCGAGACAGGAGGGGAAGGGGAGGGAGAAGAGCGGCAACAACAAGAAACGGACCGAUCUGGAGGACAGUAGCGAAGACGGCGCCGGCGCCACCCCCGCCGCGCAUGAAGGCCCAGGCACUGAGCGCGCCGGCGAGGAGGAGCGCUCCGCCGAAUCCGACCCCUGCGGCUAGCGAGGCGGUGCUCCCCUGCUUGAGGUAGCCGGCGAUGCCGCCACCAAGGACAAGCAGGCCGUAGGGGAUCGUGAUGUGGGGAUUGAAGGACUUGGCGAGGGGUAGGGAGGCGGCGCGGGGAGCGAGCCGGCAGCAGCGAACCGCGUCGUUGCCUCUUCGAAGCCCCGAGUGAAGGAAGGUGAGGUUCAGAUCGGAACGGAAUGGGAAAAUCAAACGAACGAAAAAGAAAAAAGUCUAUGCAUCUGAGUUGGGAGAUUGGACAGCGGAGGGAAUCUGCACCAACAAACAUCGGAAGGUAAGAUGGAAAAAAUCUUCCAAAGAUGGAUAGGAUUUCCGCUUGCGGAGCCCCGAGAGUCACUGAGCAUGUGUUUGACUGAGCAUGUGUUUGUUACCGGAUCGAUGUGUGUUGGUUCAAAAGGUACGUGGGUUGGGUUCGACCUACGAGUCGAGCGAGAUGCGGGUUCACUGAGUUUCUCCAAAACCAACGGACCACGCCGAGUAGACCCCGUGCGUCACGCGCGUGCUCACCGCUCGCGCCGUAUCCUCUCCCCUCCCACCCCCGUCACUCCGCCCCCGCCGCCAGGCGCAUCCGCCGCCGUCCCUGCCAUCCGCCGCCUCCCCUACCCUCCGCCCGCCUCCACUCCCAUCCGCCGCCCCCCCUCACAUUCAUCCAUCUCUUCCGGCUGGACCUCGCUCGACGCCCGUCGCUACCCCUCCCGUCUGCCUUCCCUACUCUCCGCCGCCUCCACUCCCAUCCGCCCGCCUCCCCUCACCCGGUCACCCAUCUCUUCCGGCUGGAUCUCGCCCGACGCCCGUCGCCGCCCCUCCUGUCCGCUGCCUCCCCUGCUCUCCAAGGUAAGGAAACCCUACCAUGUCUAUAGUGUAGAAAUUCGAACUCAUCUUGUUGGACCAUAGUUCUAGAUAGUCUUGUGGAAGAUGCUUGACUUGGUUGAUAUUUACUAUUUGGCUUUGGAUGCUCCUGGUUGAUAGUCUUGUGGGAGUUGAAUUGAACAAACAAUCCAACAGCUAUAUCUAUUACAGAACAUCUUAUUUCAAUAAAAUUGCACUGAGCAGGACAUCCUGGUUCAAUGGUAUCUAAGAACACGUGUUUCUUUCAUUCUUGUAUUGUAGAUGGAUGAGAGGACCAAGAUUGUAACUUGUGCUGUGGUGCAUACAUGCUGUUCAAUCGAGGCCCAUGACACUGAGGCCCAUAAAGAGAAUAGGUGAGAAAGCCCAGACGUACCAAAGUGAGGCCCACACAAAAGAGUCCGACGAGUUCUUCGACUGCGCCGCCGGUCUCCUCGUUACCUCGUGGUUCGCCGGCAACCCAGGAGAAGGAAGCCGCCGCGGCCUCGAGGGGGCAAUCGCCGGGUUCUGGCUGGAGGGGAUCUAUGUUCACGAACGCGCAGCGCCAGGUUGAGCGCACCGGCCGCUCUGGCACCCCGCGAAACCAGUACCUUCAGGUCGGUCCCGUCCCCCCUCCCUUCUUUUAUUCCCCAGGAAUCGGGGCUGGCGAGUCCUCUUGCUGGAAUCCAUCCUGCAAAUCCGUCUCGCGUUUAUUAAUCCGUUCCGUUUGAUUGCGCGUGUCCAGGAUCUUGUGACCCAGUUCCAGAACGCCACGGAUGAAGGUUUGUGGCUGGUUUUUACUUAGUUCUUUUCUUUCACACGCUGCCGUGCAGCUCAUUUUCCGUGUAAUUCUCUAGCAGCUUGAGUGUCAGUAUAGGGAGCAGUCUUGAGAGUAACUGGUUUUAGUCUGAAUUGUACUGGUAAUUUGCUUGAUCAGAACCUUAACUUGUUUUUACUAUAGCCUAAACACCAUCGUGUAAAUGUGAUGCUUUGUUGCUACUGUUUGAUUGUUUCGUUGGAAUGGAAUCCACUACAUGGAUUGGUUCAUGGAGAAGUAUCUACUAAUGAAUUACAUUUUAAUUUUGAAUAUGUUAGAGAGUUAGAAUAGCAUAUUGCACCUGCAUUGAAGAUCUAGAGGGCCUAAGGAAGAUAUGCAACAUUUGUAAAGAUCUAGAGGGUAAAAUGAAAAUAUGCAGCACAAAGAUUUAGGGGGUGUUUGGGAACACCGUACUAAACUUUAGCACCUGUCACAUCGGAUGUUUGGAUACUAAUUAGGAGUAUUAAACAUAGUCUAAUUACAAAACUAAUUGCACAGAUAGAGUCUAAUUCGCGAGAUGAAUCUAUUAAGCCUAAUUAGUCCAUGAUUUGACAAUGUGGUGGUACAGUAACUAUUUGCUAAUGAUGGAUUAAUUAGCCUUAAUAGAUUCGUCUCGCAAAUUAGACUCCAUCUAUGCAAUUAGUUUUGUAAUUAGCUCAUGUUUAGUCCUUCUAAUUAGCAUCCGAACAUCCGAUGUGACCCUGCAUUUUUCAUGAGGCGGGCCAAAUAGAGAAUGAAAUGCAAAAAUAGGAAAGGUGCAUUAGCGGUUAAUACGUUGUAAUUAGAUAAGUUAUUGUGCUUGAGAUGUGCAAUAAUGUAUCAAGAACGCUUCAAUCGGCUUCAGCUGGUUCUAACCAUCGAUAGGUGGAUAACUUCCCAUUUUCUAACCCAUGAAGCUAAAGAAGCAUCCUGUUGAUGAAUGCAAUUAGCGAAAGUGGGAAUGCUGGAUUGAAGUUCAGUACUUGCUUACUAGCUUUCUACUUGGCAGGGACAGGGGUUCGUGGUCUAUUUUUGAAAAAAAAGAGUGAGACUCAAUCUCCUUAUGCCAUCUCACGCUACCGAAGCAGACUCGCUCCGUCUAUGCGUCCUGAACCUGAAGAUAGAGACCCCAGCUAGACCUAUUUAGUUUAGUUGCCUCGGGUGAGCUGAACUACCAGAACUAGUUCUUUACAACUCGUGCCCCGGAGCCCUCUAUCUAGAAUAGCUCUCUCUGGAUUUCCCAGAAAUGUUACCAGAAUAAGUUACAACUGACUAUAUCUUCUUUUCCCAGCUUAGCGCCCUCCCACUAAGCUCUCAACCAAUCCAAGGUUAAGAAAUUCUUGAUGAUCCAGCUUGAGACUAAGUCGUUUAGUAAGAAGUUAUCCUCUAGUGCCCAGGAUUCUUUUUAGACUGACUUUUCAAUCGUCAAAGGGAAUAGAACCAAAACAUCGAACGAUAUGCUUUUAUUCAUUUUCCACUGUGUCGGACAUUUCCUUUUCGAUCCUUACUUACUACCAUGCUAAAGUUUAGCACCUCGUAUCCAAACACCCUAAUCAAAACAACAGGGAGAAAAUCUGGUCCUUGCGUAGGCUAUACAUAUACUUUCUGGAUACUAUAUUUAGACUUCCGAUAGACCCUACACAUAAAUAUUCAGACUUUUGAUAAAUAUGGGUCAAUUUUUUUUGAAAAGGGUGCAAAAGAUUUGGUGAGAAAUUUAUUUGAAGGAAAAGCAGAUACAACUGAAACAGAGGUUCCAAUUAACACAACAAAGAACAACUAGACAUGGGUCAAUUUGUAAAGGAGAAGCUUAUGGAGUGAUGUGUUCUUUUUAUUGCACUUUAUAAAUUACAUGCUUUUAUAAAUUGUACUCUCACUUAGUUCAUCCGUCUUGUUUCAGAGUCUAAAGAGAAGAUAGCUGCAAACUUGGCAAAUUUUGCGUAUGACCCUUUUAACUAUGCCUUUAUGCGUCAGGUUGUUGAUUAUCCUAAACCUUUCUUUUGAAACACUUGCAGCAAAUUUUCUUUAAUGACAAUCUUCAGUUAGCUUUACCGUUUAAUAACUCUGUUUUUAUUUUCUCAGCUGAAUGUUCUUGAGUUGUUCUUGGACUGCAUUACAGAGCCAAAUGAAAGGCUUGUCGAGUUUGGCAUUGGUGGAAUAUGUAACUCAUGUGUUGGUGAGCAACACAAUACCUUGGACUCUAUUUCUUAUUUAAUGGGAAUUAAGUAAGCACUUACAUUUUGUGUUUCCAUCCAUGUACAUGCAGAUCCUGCAAAUGCUUCAGUCAUUGUUCAGUGCGGUGGAAUCCCAUUGGUUAUACAAUGCUUAUCAAGCCCGGUGCGAAAUACUGUAAGUAGAUCUGAAGCUAACAAAAUGACGUUUUGUUUUUUGGGCUGGCUUUAUUUCUGAUGAUUCUGUGCUUUUCACAGUACGUUUUGCUGAUGUCUGCAAUUCUCCUCUUAUGGUUACAUACAGGUGACUUAUGCACUUGGGGCUUUGUAUUAUCUGUGCAACCCGUCCACUAAGAAAGAGAUCCUGAAACCUGAUGUAGUUAGGAUUAUAAGAGAGUAUGCUGCAGUUGGAGCUAUUAACACCAGCUUCAGCAACAUGGCUAAUGCUUUCCUGGAGAAGCAUGUUGAUUCAUGACCUUUGCUGAGAAUAUUAGAAGGUAUAAAGCUUACAUCAUAUCCUCUGCUUGUACUGUUUUAGCUGCUCUCUUUUGAGGUAUUGAAUCUAUAAAUUCACCUGAUUUCAUUUUGUGGACAGGGUGCUAUAUAAAGGUGCCGUAAUGUGAUGUAAAUAGAAAUGUGCAUUAUGAAAGAGGGAACAAAAUUGAAGGAGACUUUCAAGCUCAGAAUUGAAAGCCUGCUCUGCAUUCUUCCGAUGCUUAUUCAAGACCCUAGCUUGUGACUUGAUGAGAGAACAAUGCCCAUAAGGCCUGGCUUAACAAAGAAUUCUUGCUCUUCAGCAAGAACAUUGCCCUGGUUUUCAAUUUAGAAGAUACUUUGUCAUGGUUCAAUUAUCUGUUCAAGUGAUUACCAACUGUCUUGUCGCCGGCUCCGGAAAUUGCUAGUGAAUGAAUUGUUACUGACAGCAAUGUAGCGUCAUGAAUUCAUUGUUGUUUUUCCGAUGUCUGGCGGAACCUGCAAUGCAAAGACACUGCAAUGUAGCGUCAUGAGUUCAUUUUUCCUCUGACAGAACCUGUAAUUUAAAGAUUGCAUAGGAUUGAUGUGACAUAGUGAUCUUGUAUGCAGUUGUAGGGAGCUCUGCUGAACACUUUUCUAGAGAGGAGUUUCUAGAGAAGAGUGAAUCUCUGCUGAUUAUAUGAAGUGAUUCUCUGGAAUGACUAAUUUUGUGAAGUGAUUCUCCAUCCUGAUUCUAAGAGUUUAUGCGAGAGAAUCAAAGAAAAUCACUUUUAGCCACAUAAUUACCUCUCUCAGAGAAGUUUAUGCUAGAGAAUCAAAGAGAAUCAUUUUUAGCCAUAUUAUUACCUCUCUUAGAGAAUCAGCUUUCAUAGAGAAUCAGCUUUCAUAGAGAAUCAGAUACAGCUAACAGACCCGUACUGAGGAAGUUUUCUUUCUUCCCUCACAGCUUUACAUAUGAGCUAUGUAAAAUGGUUUUUUCUUGUGUUCUUUACAGAAAAUCAGCCCAUGCUAUACUUAACGUAUGUUCAGUACGUAUUAACUUGCUGAAUGAGAGAGCCCUGGUAGCAUCGAAUUUUGUCCCUUUUUUUAUCUGGUGGCAUCAGAAUUGAAGUGUUACACGAGUUGAUUCUAUCAAAAAAGAAGAUGAACUGGCAAGAUGACUGCAACAUUUUCCCCCUUCUACCGAAACUUCACAAUCGAUUCCUUGAUUUCACAGCCCAGAAAACUAUAAAGGCCCAAAAGCCCAUUACAUCCAGAGGCCUCAGCAAGUCGGCAGCACUUCUUAACCCGGAAGCCCAGGCGGCCGUGGACUCGUAAUCGCAUUCGUCACCACCGCCGCCGCCUCCCCGCCGCCGCCUUUUCUCCCCUUCCCUUCCCCUCCUCUCCCCAGCCGCAACUACAAAACCCUAGCAAAAUUCUCCACCACUCCAUCCAAUCACUCAAACCCGCCUUGCGAUUCAAUCGAAGAAUCCGACCAGGAUGAUGCCCGGAUCAGCCGCGCCGGCGGGGGGCGCCGGGAUGUUCGUCCCGGCGGCGACCGCGGGCACGGUCCUCUGCUGCAUGUGCGGCGUGGCGAUGCAGCCGAACCCGGCCAACAUGUGCGCGCGCUGCCUCCGCGGGCGCAUCGACAUCACCGAGGGCGUCCCGCGCCACGCCGCCGUGGUCUACUGCCCCGACUGCUGCUCCUACCUCCAGCCGCCGCGCUCCUGGCUGCGCGCGACCCCGGAAUCCCCCGAGCUGAUGCAGAUCCUGCUGCGCCGCAUCAACCGACCGCUGGCCCGGCUCCGCGUCUCCCUCUCCGGCGCCGAGUUCGUCUUCUCCGAGCCCCACUCCAAGCGCCUCCGCCUCAAGCUCCGCCUCCGCCGCGAGGUGCUCCACGGCGUCGUCCUCGAGCAGACGCACCCCGUCGAGUUCGUCGUCCACGACCGACUCUGCGACUCCUGCUCCCGCGCGCAGGCCAACCCCGACCAGUGGGUCGCCGUUGUCCAGCUCCGCCAGCACGUGCCCCACCGCCGCACCUUCCUCUACCUCGAGCAGCUCCUCCUCAAGCACGGCCAGGCUUCCCUUGCGAUCCGCGUCGCCGCCGCUCCCGGCGGCCUCGACUUCUUCUUCGGCUCGCGCUCCCAUGCCGCUCGCCUGGUCGACUUCCUCGCCACCGUCGCUCCUAUCCAAACUCAGACAGCCAAGCAGCUCGUCUCGCACGACACCAAGAGCAGCGUCUACAACUACAAGUACACAUUUUCGGUCGAGAUAUGCCCCAUCUGCCGCGAGGACCUCAUCGCGCUCAGCCCAAAGGCCUCCCGGGACAUGGGAGGUCUUGGCCCGCUCGUCCUCUGUGUUAAGGUCACAAAUGCCAUUGCUCUUCUUGAUCCCCUCACGCUGCGUGUUCACCACCUGGAGGAGAAAAAGUACAGGGUGUACAACUUUAAAGCAGCUCUGACUAGCAAGCAGCUCGUGGAGUACAUUGUGCUGGACAUUGAGCAAGAAUCGCCGGAAAUUUCCAUUGAUGGGUCUCGGUACCAAUUGGCUUAUGCACAGGUUGCCCGGGUGUCGGAUUUUGGGAAGAACGACACCAUCUUUACAGUUAGGACGCAUCUUGGCCAUCUGCUGAAUCCUGGUGAUCAUGCCCUUGGGUAUGAUCUCUAUGGCGCGAACCUGAAUGAUGAUGACAUGGACACGGCUAUGACACGGUACAGCUUACCGGAGGUGGUUCUUGUCAAGAAGAGCUAUGAGAAGAGGCCACGCACACGGAGAUGGAAGCUGAAGAGGUUGCCAGUGGAGGAAGAUGCUGCGAACAAGGCCAAGGGUGAGGAAGAGAAGAGGCUAGAUGAGUAUGAGUCUUUCCUCAAGGAUUUGGAGCAGGACCCAGAGUUAAGGUUUACGAUAAAUCUGUACAAGAAUGAGGACUAUAGGUCAGAGAUGGCAUCAACUGUUGGUGAUGAUGUCCCUACAGUGCCAAUUGAGGAGCUGAUUGAGGACCUUACCCUUGGCGAUGAUGAGGAGGAUGAAGGGGAUGAAGCUGUAGCAGGCAUCGUUCAAUCUGGGAUGGUGGAAUGAUCAAUAUUGCUACUUUGUUUCUUCAUUGCUCACUGGGAAGGCUUGGCGCUCACUGCAGGUCAUAUGCAUAUGCCUGAGUCGCAUCUGUCAGUUAUCAUAUAUUUUAUUUUCCCUGUUACUGAUAUAAGUUAAAAUGUGGCGGUGUUCCUUAAGUUAAGUUUUGAAUUCCGUUGUCCAUUCAAAUCGACAUUGUUUCAACCCUUAUCCUGUAUUGGGGGCAUAACAAUCUGUUUUUCCCUUUUCAUAUUGCCACCUGUCACAGUGUUUUAUAAGUUCUAAUGCUUUGAGUUUUACCAUAUUUUCUCAAUGCUGUCUCAAGUUUGAGCCAUUAUCCUGUUUCUGAGUGCAAUGAUUGUGUCUUAAUAAUUGCGUUAUCAUUUCUGCUGCUUGUUGCUCCUUUAUCUUUUUAUCAUACUAUAGCUGAACUGCUGACUGUAGGUCUGAACUCUGAACUGGUUCUUUUGUAUAUUAUGUUCUUUUUUCUUUACUGCUAUAAGUUUCAUUUCAACUUCCGCUGUCAGGAUCAAUAUUGUUUCAACUGACAUUCAUGUUAAGUUAAAUUGUUCUGUGGUGAUUUUGUGAUAUGCUGUUUGCUCGUGACACUGACCCACUCCAUUGCUACUAUAUUUUCAAAUUCACAAUUUUUUGGGAUCACACAUGACCUUCAAUAUAGGUUUCAACCAUUAUCCUGCUUCUGGGUUGGGGUGGUUUGGGUCUCUAGUAAUUUCUAUCUGUUAUUGUGUAUAUACUGUAUGUUUUUUUUAUCCAUAGGUCAUUCUCUAGCUGAUCAUAAAAUUAGUGUGUAGUUUACUAGCUGUUGACUGCUCCCUCCGUCCACAAAUAUAAGCAUUUUAGGAUAUUGACGCUGUCUUCAAUAUACUAUUUUGACCAAUAAUAUCUAUAAAAAUAAAUUAUUUCAAAUAGAAACAAUUACAUAUUAUGAUAGUUGGUUUCAUGAUGAAUCUAGUAACAUCAUUUCUACGGUAGUACUCCCUCCGUUUUUUUAUAAGGCGCACACGCAUAUCAAGAUUCAAACUUUGUAAUCUUUGACCAAUAAUUUAACUACUAUUUUUUUAUUUUCAUAAUUUAAAUUUUAUAUAGUUGGAUUCGUAAUCAAAUAUAUACUUUACAAUGAUUAUAAGUUUAUAACCAUAAAAAAUAUAAUAUAAGAUAAAUGAAUGGUCAGAGUGUUAUUUGGAAGACUGUGCCAAUUCAUACCAUGCCUUAUAAACAUAUAGAUGGAGGGAGUAAUCUUUAUGAAUUUCUUGUUAUUGAUAGCUAAAGUUUAAUAAGUUUGACUUCUGAGAAACCUAUAAAAGCUUUAUAUUUGUGGACAGAGGGAGUACCUGUUUUCCUAGCUUUACAUCUUGCUCUUUCAGAGUAUCCAAAUGAAAAGUUUUGUAAUUUACUAAGCUGUGCCUGUGAAGAGUCAGUUGGCCUUCCAUGUCAGACAGUUCAUCUUUAGGGUUGUUUGGUAGCCAGGUAUUGGGUUCAACACCUGUGUAAACUACCGGCCCUAAUCUUUUCUGGGUCAGAUUGGAAAAUGCUGCUUAGAUGAGUUUGGAAGCUCACAAGGCGGGGGUCAAACUUGAUUGGUUCCACUCGACUGAGAUAGCAAUGAGGAGGGUCCUCCCAUGACUGCAACGGCGAGCGCCCAUUCGCUUAGACAAUACCGUUCAGUUUUGAAUGAAUGAUGCGCUCUCUAUUUUUUUUCCCCUCCCAGUAUCUUCAUCUAUGAUGCACUGUCAAAAAACUUUAGCAUGUCUAUGGCGAUUGGGGCGGUGGAUUCUAGAAUUCAAAUGCAGUAGAACUGAAAUUGGGUGUAUGAGGUGCAGCAUUGGUGCUGCUACACAUCGAUAUUUAGGAUCAGUAGUACAAAGAGAUUGUGAAUGUCGAUGAAGGUGUUAUCCUAUAGAAUCUAAACGAGACCAGAUGAAACUAAAAUUUUAGUUCUAUAUUAAAACAACGGUAGAUUUGUAAGGCAUGCCUCACCUCUGUUUCACUCUGGUAUUGCAAGUUACCAGAACUUGGCUGUCGUCCGAACAUGUCGAACGAUUUGCAGGGUAAAAAGCUGCUGCACGUAGCAUUGAGCUGUGCACGCUUAACUCAUACGGAGGACAUAUAAUUUCCCCCGUGUCUGGUGGUUGUGUUGCGGUGGUGGAUGGAUGACUUGGUGUGCACCGUCAUUAUUUGUUAUGGUAUGGCUUGAUUAUUCUGUGUAAUAUGAAGCGUGCAUCAUCAUUAGGUCCCAGCUGAUGCUUUCGGGGCGUUUGGAUGCCAGGUGCUCAAGUUUAGCAGUGUCACGUCGAAUAUUCGGAUGCUAAUUAGAAGGACUAAAUAUAAGCUAAUUCGUGAGACGAAUCUAUUAAGCCUAAUUAAUCCACUAUUAGACAAUGAUUACUGUAGUACCACAUUGUCAAAAUAUGGAUUAAUUCGGCUUAAUAGAUUCGUCUCGCGAAUUAGACUCCAUCUAUGCAAUUAGUUUUGUAAUUAGACUAUGUUUAAUACUUCUAAUUAGCAUCCAAAAAUUUGAUGUGACAUGUGCUAAACUUUAGCGUCCCGCGUCCAAACAGUCUCGACUCGUAAACUAGAAAGGUGAUGUGACAUGGAGUUUGGUUUCGGUCAGUGGAUGCAGUCUGGCGUGUUGCCACGCUUAUACAAUCGUAACCGUAUCUUUCUGCCGCAAGGGAUGACUGGCCGGCAUUUUGGCGCAUGCUGAUCGGUGAGGUUAGUUGGGAGUAGCAGUACGGCACUGAAAACGCGGGAGCUUAUUAAUAACGAGAGGUGGUGUUUGGAUAGUAGGUAUUAAAAUUUAGCAGUAUCACAUCGAAUGUCGGAUGCUAAUUAGAAGGAUUAAACAUAAGUUAAUUAUAAAACUAAUUGCAGAACCCUGUGCUAAUCUGCGAGACGAAUCUAUUAAGUCUAAUUAAUUCAUCAUUAACAAAUGGUUACUGUAGUAAUAUAUUGUCAAAUCAUGAACUAAUUAGGCUUAAUAGAUUCAUCUCGCGAAUUAGACUCCAUCUGUGCAAUUAGUUUUGUAAUUAGCCUAUAUUUAAUACUCCUAAUUAGCAUCCAAAUAUCCGAUAUGAUAGGUGCUAAACUUUAGCGGGGUGUAUACUAAAUCGUCUCGCUUCGAUGUCGUGCCAAGACUUUGAGAUUGGUGAUCCUGCACCAUACUUUCGCAGCAAUUGGUCGGGACAUGCGUAGUGCUGUGCCGUGUGGCACGCACUGCGAACAAAGGAAACGCCAUUACACCAAACCCCGCCAUUUGGUGAGGGAUUUAUCAAUUUACCAUCAUCAUGCAGAUGGAUCACUCCUACGGGCAGAGGUGAGAGAGGAGGUGGCAAAUCAGAUGCCUGCUGGGACUUGUCCAACCAGAUGUCCAGAUCGGGCACUGAUUACUGCAAAUCUGCAAUAAAAUACUGCCAUAUUGGUUGGCGGCAUGGCCAAUUUUUGCCUGUUUCUCCAUGUGCGAUCUCAUCCGAUCCGCUCACGUGUACUAGUACGACGGGGAAACUCUGGUGGUCAGUAACCAAAGCAGAGGACGAGUUGGCUUCGUUCACCCGUGGCAGUCCGGCCGGCACCGGGUAGAGUGGUGAGUGAGACGGACGUGAGAGCAUGUGGUGCCUGGAAGUGGAUGGACACAGCCCAGGUUUCCGUCCGAAUCCACUCACCAACCCCUCUCGGCCGCCGGAUUGGCUGCUUUGAUGCUUUGGACUGGGACCGGUCGAACGCUGCAUGCAUCGCGGAGAGACCUGCCCGUUCGGUACGCGAGUUGGAUUGGUCGCAUCGCGGCGAGGUGAGAGGUGUCGUCGGAAGCGUCCAUCGAGUUGCCCGUUGCCCCCAUGUCGUGUGCUUUCAAGGUGUAAAUUCAGACUAUCUGGUUGGACGACCGCCUACGGCACACAUGUCCUUUCUCAAAGACGUCGUUUUGAAAUCUCACGCGCAUGCAUGUUGGAUGCUGAAUUGAAUUCGAGGUGUUCUAGUUUCCUCUUAAAAAAGAAAAAAAGAAAAGGAAAAAAGAGAGCUGCUGGUGGUGUGUGUUGCGGUGGCGGCUUUUUGUUAGCACGGUGAUAUCGUUGCCAGCCAUCGGAGUUUGCUGAGGCCGUUCUUUGGCGGAGCUUUUAAGAUGAGUGGAGCUAGCGAUGGCUUUCGUGCGGCUCGCGUUUGACGUUCCACUUCAACUGUGCAGUGUUGCUUCUCGAGUUAAGUUGAGUGGUACGAUGUGUUGGAUGGUACAUGUUGAUAUUCCAAUUCGAGUUGGGGUUGGGUUUGUGUAACGGUGUUGUAUGACGCGUGCUGAUAUUCCAAUCCAAAUAGAUCAGUUGUUAUUCCAAUCCAAUAGAUCAGUUGUUAUUUUACUGCCCGAUUUGGAUAAAUCUAUGUAGCUGCUGCUUGCCUAUGUACACCGGCUCACGGCUUGAAAAUGCUGUGGAGUGUGAACCUAAUGGAACAGACCCGUGAAGGCGUCAACCAACCACACAUGUCCUCUCGGGUUUUUUUUCCAAGAACUUCCUCUCAAGCUUUUUUUUGGCUAGUUGUGUUCAUACCCCUGCUUUGAAGUGUAAUUGUGAUUUUAUCUUCAUUUUCUCAACUUUGACCAUGUUUAGUUACCUCCCAACUUCCAACUUUGACACUAUGCAAAAAGAAGAUUCCCCAUCACAUCAAACUUGCGGUACAUGCAUGGAGUACUAAAUGUAGACGAAAUUAAAAACUAAUUGCACAGUUUUGUUGUACUUUGCGAGACGAAUCUUUUGAGCCUAAUUAGUCAAUAUUUGGACAAUAAUUCACAUAUACAAACGAAACGCUACAGUGUGCUACAGUGCUGCACAAUAAUUUUGCAUCUCACAAUUUGGCCAACUAAACAACACCUUUGUGAUAUUUCUCUCAACUAUUUACAAGCCAACGUGAAUGUGCUCUCGGUGUUUGCCUACUUGUAGGGGGAAGCUAAACUGUGAUUUGAAGAACUUCCUCUCGGGCUUUGGCUUGUCUUGGCCUGGCAGACGCCCCCGCCCGCGAUUCGCAUCGAAUCGGAUCGGACCAACCCAGGCAGGCGGCGGCGGCGGCGGCGGCGCCGGCGCCCACAUCCACCUCCACCCCCGGCACCCGCCCCCCACCCCAAGGUGAGCCGCUCCGCUCCUCCUCCACCCGCCCGCCCCGCGUCUCACCCCUCUCGCCGCAUUGCUCGUCGGAUCGCCUGGGUGCCGUCUCCUCCUCGUAUCGUUCCCCGCCCUGCGCGCGCGGGCGCCUUAGCCUGCAACGAUCUGACUGCCCGAAUCAUUUCAUCUCAUCUCAUCUCUAGUUAGUUGUCGUGUCGUGUGCGUGUGCGCUCGCGCGCGCGCGGCCCUGCUUACUGUUUCUGUUCGCCGCGAUGACAUCGAGGGCGCCUGUGGUCCGCGGCGACCGUAUCGCAGGUACUCCAAACGAUCAAAUUCGGUGUGUUCGUCAGGUUUCGGUCAAGGCCUGCCGAGUGGCUACGCGAGAUGCCAGGGCAACGUUGCGCCCAACAGGCUGUAGGAGGAUUAGGGAGCCCCUCAAUCCUGAUGCAGACGGCCUCCUCAUGUGCCUGAGGAUUCUGAUGGUUCGCCGUGAAACGCUUUUCAACUUCUGCAGGAAGGGUUGCUUACAUACCCCACUUCUGUAAAAAGUAUCGAUCAUUCAUGCCACAGUGUAAUUUUCUUUGACAUCUCUAUUGGUGACUGCCACACUGUAAAUUUCUGAACUUUGAACCAGCUGACCUGUUUUGUUUGUCUGUCUGUUCCUUUGAAAAGCCAAGCUGACUUGUUUUAAGGUUCAAUAUGCCAGUGUAGAAUUCCUUGGUACGUUGGUUGUUAUUUUGCUUAUCAGCUUGGCUCGGCUCAGCUCAUUCUUAGUUUCCAUCCAGACAACCCGGUGCUUGAUGCAAAAUCCUGCCAUGAAUAUUUACUUGCAUCAAGUCAUUUAUAUUUUUUCCCCUCAUAAUUCCUGGCAAAUUGAAUUACAUUGAACUGAUUUUUGUUGCAUUUAGCAGAUGGGGGAAGUUGUGAAGGACUUGACAGCCGGGACUGUAGGAGGGGCUGCCAACCUGAUUGUUGGGCACCCCUUCGACACCAUCAAGGUGAAGCUCCAGAGCCAGCCCACCCCUGCUCCUGGCCAGCUCCCCAAGUAUGCAGGCGCCAUCGAUGCUGUUAAGCAGACGAUUGCAGCUGAAGGGCCCAGGGGCUUGUACAAGGGAAUGGGGGCACCUCUAGCCACCGUUGCUGCCUUCAAUGCUCUCUUGUUCAGUGUGAGGGGGCAGAUGGAGGCUCUCCUCAGGGAAGAACCCGGUGUGGCCCUGACGGUGAAGCAGCAGGUUAUCGCAGGGGCUGGUGCUGGACUCGCAGUCUCCUUCUUGGCGUGUCCAACAGAACUGAUCAAGUGCAGGUCAGUGGAGCUAGUCCAAAUUUUCGUCACUCCAUUGUUCACUUGAAUGGUGAUGUUCAAUAGGUGGCCUUUUAAAUAUUAACAUGACAUUCAUGUGGUAAAGAGAGAUGCACUUCUAUGAAAUACACUUCCCUGAAGAUGUUAGACAUCAUACAUGUCUCAUACUUUAUUGUCAUGCAUCGCAGUGCCUCAUAGUUCAUCUCACUUCCAUCUUAUGACCUGUAGCGACGAAUUUAAGCAAUUCUAUUGAGAAUUUCUUAUGCAGCUUAAACAACUGAAAAAAUAUCCUUGUGUUUGUUUGAACACAAACAAAUAAAAUUAGUCAUCGUUUUCUUGGAUCACACAAUUCACCUUGUGAUUAAAGUUGUGAAGACUCAUGUAAAAUACAUGAUUAUUUGUCCUAUGUAAUGCACUUUCCUGCAGAUGUUAGACAUCAUGCAUGUCACAUACUAAAUUGCAUUCAAUCCAGUGUUUCUCAGUUAAAUUAUUUGUGUCUAAUGCCAACACAGACUAAAAUUAUUUAUGUGCUUAUUUGCAAAUAAAGUCUGGUCAGACUCAUGUAAAAUGCACGUUGAUCCAAUUUCAAAUUACGUUCAGGGGCUGUGCUGCUGUCACCUCUUGUGCAUUUUAUGUCUCCUGAUCUUUUCAGAAAAGGUUGUUCUAGGCAAAUCAUGUAGAAUUUAAUUGUGGUCAAAUUACUUGUCGAAUCAUGUUGUGCAUCCUACAUUCGUUGAGAAAUCUUUUCAAAAGGGACUGUGUUCCUCGGUCCAUCAUAUUUGCAUCACUUGAAUGUUCCAUUGGAAUCGAUGCGAUAAAGCCUGAUAUCCGUUCUCUAGGGAAUGCACUUUUCGGCAGACGUUAGAAAUCGUACCGUCAGAUACUGCUUGCCAUGCAUUCCAGUGAUUCAGUUCAUCUCAGUUGCAUCAUAUCAUGCUUAACUGCACUAGAUUAAUGCUAUAGUAUUUUCCAUGUAAGUCUUUUAGUGUUGAUUUCCUGCGUGACCUGGGCUGCUGUAGUGCUUUUUACCAAAUGCCAUAAACUUAGACUGCAAAACUUAUUGUGUCAAAUGCAAACAGAUAGAACAGAGUCUGCAAUAUCUUUCUGCAGUUAUGCUUUUCUGUUUUGCAAAUGAGUUCCUACAAGCCAUACUCAUGUAGAACAGAUGGUGGAUAGGAUAACAUUCAAGGGCUGUGCAAGCCAUCUUUUGUGCAUUCAAUUUUCCAUUACUGCUUCUGAGCUAUCUCCCCUCUUGCAGGUUGCAAGCCCAGAGUUCCUUAGCCGAGGCAGCAGCCGCUUCCGGCGUGGCUCUACCCAAAGGCCCGAUCGAUGUGGCGAAGCACGUGGUGCGGGAUGCCGGUGCGAAGGGUCUCUUCAAAGGUCUUGUCCCGACGAUGGGUCGCGAGGUCCCCGGCAACGCUUUGAUGUUUGGCGUGUACGAAGCCACCAAGCAGUACCUCGCGGGUGGCCGGGAUACUUCUAACCUCGGCAGGGGCUCCCAGAUCCUGGCUGGUGGCCUCGCUGGCGCCGCCUUCUGGUUGUCCGUGUACCCAACUGACGUGGUGAAGAGCGUGGUCCAGGUGGACGACUACAAGAACCCUAGGUACUCCGGGUCCCUCGACGCGCUGAGGAAGAUCGUGGCGGCUGAUGGCGUGAAGGGCCUGUACAAGGGGUUCGGACCGGCCAUGGCACGCAGCGUCCCCGCCAAUGCUGCUACGUUCGUGGCGUACGAGAUAACGAGAUCUGCUCUCGGUUGAUUGGCUGCUACUCCAGUGCCACUGCCAUUUCUUCUGCUGGCACGGCUGGAGCUGCUACAUCUUCCAUAGCAACACAGGAUGGAGCAAAGGCACGCCUUGCAUGUGCAACCCAGAAAUUGUACAAUUGCAAGCAUUUUUUUAGGGUGGAAAAGGGGGGAACUUUUGGCUGCAAUGGUGACUGUUGGGAUUGUUUAAUAAGCAAGCUUCAUAAGAUGUUGAUGGGUGUAGUGAGUGAGUGUGAUGGUGGUUGCGCGAUGGUGGUGGACUGGUGGCCUUUGCUUUGUUGGGUUGUGGCGUCUGGUGGCGAGUGGCCCCCUCGUCAGCAGGUUGUCGUCUCCCUUUCUUGGCCUUGGCUUAUUGGCCUGGAUUUUAUUCCCUCUUUUCCGCCAUAUACUGCUCUCUCUUUUUUUGCAGUGGUAUAUGCGCCGUGCAUUUAUUAGUAUCGCAUUGCCGCUCAGGUUGGUGUGGAGGAGCGCUGGGCCGUACGUAGGUGGAGUCGAGUCGUGUUCGUUGGGUGAGGAGGAGGCACCCGUCCCUGGGCUCCUCCUCCAUUGCCGACCUCCGCCGCUGCCGCACCUCUCCUUGCACAAGUAUGGGUUGUUUUGUUCCCUUGCAGAUUAGCUUCUGUCGUCUGGUCAGCUUGUUUAUUUGAUUGUGUAUGGGCAUUGCUCCUGCUCUGUCUUGCUCUUCUCCUUAAUUUUGGAUUCGUCGACCUGGUUGAACCACUACGGUUCGUCAGAUUCAUCAGAAAGUAGCAUGAAUCAGCCCAAGUGUACCUUUCUUUUCUUUACCUCGUAAAACAAUCUGUACCUGACGCGCCUCCCCUCUGCGGCACUACUCGUUGCCGAAAGGGUUACAAUGCCUGAACAUCAACAUGUUCCCCUUGUGUCUUCUCUUAUCAGAAUUCAGAGCAAACUUGUCUAUCUACCCUCGUAGAUGUUCCUACGACAAGAGUGCGAAACCGUAGGUUCAUAAGCCAGUUGGAACAUCGAGCCACCCCAUACAUGGUGAGUGCAUACAGCAAAGUGUGUCUGCGGUCUGUGCUCUCCAUUCCCGUUCACAAAAAGCUCAGCAGUCAAGCUUGUUGUUCCAUUUCGCCUUGGUCACAAAAAUGUCUAUCAUUUUUACAAACCCAUCGGCGGCUGAUGUCAGCACCAUCUCUAACCUGCUACGACUUUUUGGAGAGCUCUGUGGCACCAAUCAGAUGUCAAAGACAUAGACCUCUCAGCUGUCCUAGCUAAUUUCCCGGCCGUGAGAACAAGUUUUCCGAUCAAAUACCUGGGACUGCCAUUAUCACUCACCAGAAUUAAGCGAGUUGAUUCCCAACCCUUGAAGGACAAGUCCCUCUGAUUGCUCCGGCCGGAAGAGCAACACUGGUUUCUUCAGUCCUCACCUCGCAGGCGAUCUAUUAUCUGACAGCCUUGAGAGCGCCAGCUUCUGUACUUGAGGAACUUGACGGGAAGCGCAAACGUUUUCUGUGGACCGGCACUGAUGCUAUUGCGAGAGGUAAAUGCAAAGUGAAGUGGACAAAGGUAUGCGUUCCUAAAAGUCUUUUUGUUCACUGUCGUUUCUCCGCACGCAUCUGGGAUGCAAUCUUUGACUGGCUCUCUUCAGAUCUUCCACCGCGAGGUAACUGGCACAACUUGUAAACGGUAUUCGAGUGAUGGACACACACGGCAACAACACAAAAUACCCCUCUUAAUCAAGGGCCUUGGCUCGAUCCUGAUUCUCAGCCGCUUCAAAAAAGAAACUUUCCAUUUGUUCGAUCGUUUUGUUUCACGUGUGCAUCUUUGAUCCUCUUCUAUGUCAAUACACGGCAGUCGCUGCUUUACUGGCAGCCGCUUCAAAAAAAGAAAGAAGAAGAGAAGAAGAAGAAGAAGAAGAAGAACUUUCCGUUAGUUUGAUCUUGCGUUUACUCAACCUAAACACGUGCUCCGGCAUGUUCUCGAAAACUGACACGCUGAGAAAAAUCACUGAAAAUGAGUACAACUGGCAUACUGAUGCGCUGAGAAAAACCACUGAAAAUGAGUACCGUGUAUACACUGGUAAUCAGAUGGCCGACGGGAGCACCCACUGAAAUUUGCAGAACGUGCGCCCCGCAGAUGGGUGACGUCGCCAAGGACCUGGCCGCCGGCACGGUGGGCGGCGCGGCGCAGCUGGUGGUGGGCCACCCGUUCGACACCAUCAAGGUGAAGCUGCAGAGCCAGCCCACGCCGCCGCCGGGCCGGCCGCCCCUAUACGCCGGCGCCGGCGACGCCGUCAGGCAGACCCUGGCCGCCGAGGGGGCCCGGGGCCUCUACAAGGGCAUGGGCGCGCCGCUCGCCACCGUCGCCGCCUUCAACGCCGUCCUCUUCACCAUCAGGGGCCAGAUGGAGGCCGUGCUGCGCUCCGAGCCAGGCGUGCCGCUCACCGUCGGCCAGCAGGUCGUUGCCGGCGCCGGCGCGGGGGUCGCCGUCUCGUUCCUGGCGUGCCCCACCGAGCUCAUCAAGUGCAGGUCAGUUCUGACACCGUCCUGUUUCUUAUGUUCUGCCUUCUGUGUCACAUGUUUAUGUAGCCUGAAUGCAACAAUAAUACAUAAAGAGUGUCAUCUCAUUCCAUAAACAUGAAUGCCCGAGUACUUGGGGUUCUGAAUUCUGAACAUGAACGCCGAGGUCCUGAGGUCCUGAAUACGAAUGUUGGUAUCAGUAACCUGAAUGCAACCAAGCAUACAUUGGCAUCUGAUUCCAUAAACAUGCAUAAUGUCAGAUCCAAAUGAAAAGAGCCAUCACUUAUCACUGUCUUAGCAUCGUUUCCCUGUGGCAUGGCGUUAUGCAAAUGCUCUAGCAAAAUACAGGAAUAACAUUUGUGUUCCAUUCUUCCAUUCAAGCAACCCAUGGCUUUUAUCUUGGCACUGCUUAACUGAGCUUAUCAGUUAGUAUGAUGUCUGUCAGUGGUAUGCUUGUUUCCUCAGACAUUUUGGCAUCUUAAAACUUGUUUCUCCAUGGCAAAAAGGAUGUGAUCACAUACGCCAAUGACAAUCAUCUAGCAAAUAUACUCUGGUGUGUACUAUAACUCGCAGAUUAUUUUGUCUCAUAAUCCCAUCUAAAUUUUUCACUCAGCUAGACCAUAUUAUACAUCAGAAAUUCAGAAGGCGCAAUGCAUCUCUUGCUGCUGCUUGUUCAAAGUUGUUUGACAAAUGACAAUACAGAAAUAUGCAUAAGUUUCAGAUCAAGUGGAGCACUGAUCCUUUUAUGUUCCUAUAUCAUGUUAGGCUUCAAGCCCAGAGCGCCUUGGCAGCGGCCGCUCCCGCCGCCGCCGCUGCAGGCGCAGGAGGCGCUGCCGCCGCCACCGUCGCCGCCCCAGCCGCGGCCGUGAAGUACGGCGGCCCGAUGGAGGUCGCGAGGCACGUGCUCAGAUCGGAGGGCGGCACGCGCGGGCUCUUCAAGGGGCUCUUCCCGACGCUGGCGCGCGAGGUGCCCGGCAACGCCAUCAUGUUCGGCAUGUACGAGGCGAUCAAGCAGGCCCUCGCCGGCGGGCAGGACACGUCGCAGCUCGGCCGGGGCUCGCUGAUCCUGGCGGGCGGGCUCGCCGGCGCCUCCUUCUGGGGCCCCGUGUACCCGGCCGACGUGGUCAAGAGCGUGCUCCAGGUGGACGACUACAAGAACCCCAAGUACUCGGGCUCCAUGGACGCCUUCAGGAAGAUCCUCGCCGCCGACGGCGUGAAGGGCCUCUACAAGGGGUUCGGCCCCGCCAUGUUGCGCAGCAUGCCGGCCAACGGCGCCUGCUUCUUGGCGUACGAGGUGACCAGGUCCGCGCUAGGGUGAUGAUCGGUUGCGUGCUAGACUGAUGGCACCGUUUCAAUGCCUUGUGAUCUUUGUUUCCCACCUCUACUGAUCCAUGUCAUGAUGGCGAUGAUGAAUUGAUGAUAAUGAUGAUCGUGUCGAUUGUCGAGAUCAGGUCAAUUCCCCUGUGAAGGAGAGUUUAUUUACAAAAUCUGCAUUAACUUUGCUUGGAUUGGAGCUUUGCUCAUGCCUCGCUUUGGCGCCAUGGGAUUUAUGAAGCUGGUAAGGUACUGCUGAUGCGAAGCAUUCGGCGACUUUGCGUUGGCAGUGACGUCACAGCGUCCGUCCCAAAUUUUAGGAGCUGAUGAUAGUGACCUCUGACGGCUGCACAAUUGCGGUCUCAGCGGUUGCCGAAUUCCAACUUUUGUUGUUGGUGUCACGACCUCACAAAUAUACUUUUAUUUAUCCACAGAAAGGAGCGUAGACAUCAUUGGGGUGGUGGCGCAGUUGGCUAGCGCGUAGGUCUCAUAGCUAAACGUGAGUGAUCCUGAGGUCGAGAGUUCGAGCCUCUCUCACCCCAACUUUUUUUUAUCCAAUUUAAAUUUCGUCUAUCAGGUACCUUUUGCGCCUAAAGUUUGAAGAAUUUUUUUCCCCACUUGAUGUGAUUUGGUGAUCAGUGAUCACUAGCUAUUGGACUUUUGAGAAAAAUUAAUUUAAUCGCAUGACUGUAUGAGUUGAGCUUGACAUGAUGGUAUCCUGGCCAGCUGAGCCCGAGGGGCCCAGAGGAGAAGAGUCUUUUCUUGCUUUGAUUAUUAGGGCAAGUUGAGCAAGUUGACGAGGGGAGGUCAGUGUCCUAAAGACAGCGCCAUGUGAGUGUGCAAGAGUGCAACUGCCUCCCGGACUUUUAAUUCUCUCUCUCUCAUCAUCUCCGACGGCACGGCAGCCACCACCAGCACACAUCUCUUCUUCUUCUUCUUUUCUUUUUCUUUAAGUACCAGGACAACUCUGCUUCUGCCUUCUGCCAUGUAAAAAACCAAUAAUUAUGCUGCACUGAAUAUUGGAAGUGCAUGUUAUGAGAUAUAGGAUGGGACCAUAGGAAUGUGGCGGGUCUCUUUCAGGCUUCGUUCUUGUUUGGACAAAUCCAAGAUUGAUGUCGUUCAGGCGGUCAGGCCUGAUGAGAGUUGGCGCCCAAUUUCAUCGCCGGAAAUCUAGGCUUCUUGUUGUUGAUCUAGGGACCACGAUAAGAUCACUGCCCAUUAACAUUAUUCAGGGGAGGGGUGUGUGAAUUUUCCACCAAGCCUUUUUAUUUCAGCUGUGGCUGCAAAAGCAGAAGGAAUCUAAACAAGUUGGCGAUGGGGUUGAAUCGGCAAGGAAGAUGGGGCGAAAGGCUACGAAAAUGUCGAAUUGCUGAUGAAGCAAAAGCGGAUUGGUGAGAUGGAAGUGGAGCACUCGUUAUUAUUCCAAAGUGCCCUCCGAGGCUUUAUUUCCAGUCAUUUGAUCGAGCAACGACAUUGCUCCCCCGGAAUCUCUUGAUUUUUCACUUGUGGCAAGUACCCCUCUGGUAAUGGCCUUGUGUGGCUGAAUAGGAAAGGAAAUGCCCAUUGGUUUUCCCCCCUUCGCUGUCUGAAUCUUCCAUCGCUUUUCGAAGGCGAUGCAAGAUAUGGCUUCGAGAAGGUGCGGCGGCAUCCGGAACAAAAAGAACUUUACAAGAAAUAGUUGCAUGGACUUUACAAGGAGCAAUUCAAUUUUCGUACCAGUCCGAAAACAUUUGGGAAGGAAAGAAUUUUACCAAAAAAAAAA
rnacentral:lncRNA from 1 species